GUACUUUCUUCAUUCAUAUCUGCUGAUAGAUAUCUCUUCCUCUGUCACUUGACACGCACUCACAUGCUUGAUUUGCCAUGCACGUGAAUGACAAUGAAGACUUUGUAGCUUUGCCAUUUGUUUUAUUACUACUACCAUCAAUGAUCAAUCAGCCGAGAGAACUUAAAAAUAAGUGCAACUAUGGAAUUUUAUGAAGCACAGCUAUUAUUUACUCAUUAGAGCCUCAACGCAGCGCUACCCACACAGCAUAACAUAACAUAACAUACGCUGGUUGGUCCCUUCUCGUGACUGACCGACCCAUCUCUACUCUGUUUCUUUCAUCUCCCUCAGAUUUCAGACAAAACUUCUCAACUGUUCUUCUUCAUCUAACCUUCUAUUAUAAUUCAUCAGUCUUUGAUUGAACUCCUCCUCUUAUAUAUAUAUAGAUAUAUGCCUUUUUCUCCAGUAUGGUGGGACCAUGGUGGUGGGACGGAUCAUGGAUGGGAGGGCUUCCGCGUUUUCAAGUGCCUCAUCAUCAGUUGUACAAUAAAUGCAUAUUAAUACAUGAGAAAUACCGCAGCGUUUUCAAGUGCCUCAUCAUCAGUUGUACAAUAAAUGCAUAUUAAUACAUGAGAAAUACCGCACUAUAUACGGUAAGUCCUAAAUGAACAUGUAUCUCUCUUGCAAUUGGACCACCAUAUCAAAAUAUAUUUAGCAAGUUGUUGCCCAUUGGUCAUCCCCUAUAAAAUAAAAGUUCAGUUCGAUUCGAUUCGAUGGUGGCUAAUCUUAGAGCUCCUCCAUCCAUUGGUGGUCCGGAUAUAUCCGUAAUUUGCGGGUUAACUUUGAACCUCUUAUAUAUAUAUCCCGUCCCAGCUCAACUGUCACAUAAAUAAAAUUUACGUACAGAUAUGCUUUACUACUAAGACCUAUACAAGACUUGAGAGUUGGAUGGUAGCACGAACUGGGAUUUUUUUCCUUCUGUAGUAUUGGAAUUUAAGACAUUCGAAUUUCUGUUUUAAUUGUGAGAAAUUAAUUCCUAGUCAUUUUGCAGUGUAUAUAUUUUUUUUCAAAAAAAAAAAAAAAAGAAACUGUGUGAUAUAUAUAUAUAUAUAUAUUAUAUAGAGUAGACUGGAUUCUCCAUGGGAAGUAGAGCCAGCGGCUUCAAGUCAAGAUAGAUGGGAACACUGGCUGUUAAUGUCUGUUCAGAAAAUGGACCACCAGACUGAUAAGAAUUCAGAAUAGUUGGGACAUUUAGGUAAUCGACGGAUUCUGAUGAAUACAAAAAUCUGCUCACUGAAAAUUCAUCACUUUGUGGAGGGCCUCCCCCUAGUUUGUUUCAAACAAUUCGGUUGAUAAUUGUGGCUCCUAAAGUUACAAAGCAAACUAUUCCCUUGUUUAUCACUUUGCUAGACGUGGCAUCUUUGGCUUGGACCUGGUCAGUUGGAGCCAUUGCUGAAAAUUUGCUGAUUAGAUUGAUAUUCACAAUUCACAAAUCAUCAUCUCAUCUGGUUGGUAGAAGAGCAAGUGCUGAUUAGGAUGAAUUAUAAAUUAGGGAUCGGAUCAUCAAAUCAUCUGUGAUGUCACGCUGGACAGAAUACCACAAAAGCUAUAUAUAUUCUAUGAAUUGUACAUGGACUUGUUAGGCAAUCAAACAGCCCACGCAUUAUUUAAUGAAAUCAGACAAAACCGCUUGAGAUUUAUUUAAUGAAAACAUCGAGGAGACCAUCAAUAGGACGAGACAUGGUACGUAAUUUAAUUACAAGCAUUAUAGUACAGUUUCCAUGUACACGUGAAGUGAAGUGCUCUGUAUAUAUUGAAAUCGUACAAAUUAAUUAAGGUUGUGUUGUAAUACUACUGAGAAUACGUAGAAAAUACUGAUAUAGUCAAGUUAAAUACGAUCGAGUACCAAGUUGAUCCAAUUUAAAAGUAAACAGGCGCAUGAUGAAGAUGAACUUCCUUCUCUUGUAGAUUGGAAUAGGAAAAAAGAUGACAACUUUUCAGGUUUUAUGCAAUGGGAAGACAUUUAAUUAGGCGGACCAUAAUGUCUGUAAUGAGUUGUGAAAGAGAAACUUUAGAUCAACUGCUUUUCGAAUUUAGAACUUUUUUUUUUUUUUUUUUUUGUCGCUGGGUAUCGGUCACUCCGGACUGGUAAUACCGUCUGUGCCACUAUUCCCAUCGCCCGGGGAGAGCGGGCCCCACCGAUCCCCGAGAGUAUCACCCCGGACACUCAGCCUUGGGGUCGAACCCCAGACCUGUCUCACCUAAUGAGGCUACACAAGCCAGCUGAGCUGCUUUUCGAAUUUAGAACUUGAUCAAAAAUUUCAAUACUUCAACUAUUCAUGUACAAUGACACGUGUUUUUUUAAUCACCAUUUUCUACAGAAUGGGUUUUUUUUUUUUUUUUAACAAAAAAAAAAAAAGAAGGACUCAGUAGUGCUCAGUCAAAAUCUUCUGAUUGAUCAUUUGCUUCACUCAGUGUCUUGUAAAAUACUCUCCCAAUCAAAUGUAGAGGAUGGCCAGCAACAACUACAUAAAUUAAAUGUGGAUGCUUGGGAGAGCUGUAGGGUAAUUUGCUUAGUCUCUCUCUUUUUUUUUUUUUUUAAUUAGGAAAAAAGAAAAGAAAAGAAAACAAAUGUGACCCAAAUUCUUCUUGCCCAAAAGGUAAAACAAAAGAUAACAAGGCUAGUUUCAAUAAUGUCCCAAAUUUCUUAUCAUUCCUCCUCAGCCAAGAUGCUGGCUAAGGGAGAAUCCUAAGUAGUCUAUGAAAACAAAAAUACUUUUCUUUCCUUAUGGGAACAUUGUAGGGUAUUGACGGACGUAGAAGGAGCUCAUUGGCGAUUCCCCAACUCUUUUUGCAGGUGAAUUUCAACUUUUCGUGGCCAUGACAAUAACAGACAGGACCCUGGGAUUUCAGCUUUUGAACCUUAUUUCUGGUUGUAAAAUACUAAAACCAUGCUCGUGGGGUUCGUCUAAAAGGCAAUAUAGAUAGGUCCGUGGAGUUAAAAGCUUCAAAAGUUGGAAUGAUUCUGAGUUUGCUGAUGCAGCUUAGAUUUUAUGCUGAAUGCGAGACAGCAACACUCUCAAUUUCCCGGACAACCCAAGUGUCCCCAUUUCCAGCGCCAAAAUUUGGCUAACAUGCCACAAAAGCAAAGAAUACGGAUUCCUAUAUAUUUUUUCAACAAGACAAAUUUUAGUUUUCUUUCUGAGGAUGCAACAUGCUUAGUUCUAUUUAUUUUCGCACAAUAUAUAGACAGUAAAGUAAACUACGCCACACCUAUUGCUGAUAGUGUGAAGAAGAUUGCAUUAUUGAUCAUCAAAAGCAAGAGAAGACAGAGAUAUUUGAGAUGGGUUUAGGAGGAAAUACAGAUUGCUGUAACACAAGCAUCAAAAUGCCCAAACUUUUCUAGCUAUUUUGCACAGUCUUGCAUUUACUUGAUAAAAGUCAUCACGUAGCUUUGGUUUGGUCAAUUUUUAAGGCAAACAAACAAGGGAGAAUUGAAAAGCUGCCUUUGGCAACUCGCAUUUUUCUCGUUGGAUGCUUUGUUUGCAUCAAAAGAAGCUGAAAGGAGAAAAUUGAAAGGAAGGGGGCUCCCUCGAGGGAGCGUGGUUGCAGUUUUUGUUCUUUAUUGCUUUCUCAUAGUGCCUGGACCUCCAUUUCAAAGAGUGGAGACAAAAGAGUCACCUAUCUAAUGAUCAACCAACCUAUAUCCGCCUCACUAAUUAGAGUCUUUUAUGCUCUACAAUGUAUCUUGUCAUAGUCAGAAAAGGAAAUCACGAAGCCUUUUCUGCUAGAUUAUUUUUUGAAAGUAGGCAGCUUUGAUCGAGAAUAUGACAUAAUUUUCUAUAUCUUUGCUUGUUCAUGGGGCUAAGCAGACCGAUAAUGAUUGGUUAAAUCCAAGGAAAAUGAUAAAGCUAGUAUUACCAGUUCUUCAGUUGGACCUAUCGAAAGAAAUGAAAGAUGAUGCGCUGCUCAGCCGAAAGCUAAUAUGAACAGUGGCAUCAUGCAAAUUCAAUGAACAUUUUCUAGGCUUGCCUAAUUGUGGCCGGAAAUAGUGACAUUGCUACGUAGUUAAUCAGGAUUCCUCAAAUUGAGUUUGAAAAUUUGUCGCGUAAAUCCACCGCAUUCCCAUCUAGAGUCAGAGUAUUAGUAUGCUGAGCGAAUUCACCAACAAGCAAUGUCACAUUUUCCUUUACUUUCAAGCAAUAUCACUACAACAAGUUAACGAGUCCUCUGAGAAAAAAGGGAGUCAAACUCUGAAAUCUUGAUGGUAGGACUCGUUAACUUGGUUAUGAUAAUAUUGGUGAAGUCUCGUAGGUCACAAUAUGUCGCAAACAUGCUGCAAUUUACCAUCGCUACACAUCCCGAAAAAAAAAAAGACUCCAUGCCUUCCUCUUUUGAUUAAGAAAACAAAAAAGUAAAAAAAUUUUUUUUUUUUUAAAAAAAAUCAAGAUAAGAAAGAAAGGUCUAAAAAUGGCUGAAAGGCCUUUACAGAAAUCCAUUUUAGUGCAAGCCACAUCAAAAUCCCACCAUAAAGCAAGAAAGAAAAGUUUGAUGGAGAAAUUGUUGGAACUUAAUUAAUUUGCAAUGUCGUGGUCUAGCAUAUGCACUAUUCCAACUAUAGCGAUUAGAGAUAGUUUAAAGAAGAAUGUGGAAGAAGGAUUAUCAGUUUGCAUGAUUGAAACUCGUGUUAAAGAGUAUGACCAAAUACUUUUACAACGUGAUUUUAUCACUUGUCCUUAGUCUAUAACAAAGCAAGACGGAAAGAAACAGUAUUAGCGCGUGAUUAUAUUACUAGUACUACACGAAUGCCUCCCCUCCCCAAUUGCUUUUUGCAGUGGCCAAUGUUGAUUAGGACUAGAAAAAACCUAACCUUUUCACAUUACUUUACGAGCAAAUUAUCCAGGAACAUAAUCCUCUUCUUGUUCCCUUAGAUUUUAAUUGUUCUCUCAACUUUCUUGAUUCAUACACUAAUUGUCUGGGCUCCUGUUUUGCUUUUCAAUGCAUGCAACUAAUUUUCUUAUUCACGAAAGAUGUGUACUUUGUCGCGCUGGAAAUUUAAAAAAUGGCGACAUCUUGCAUUUUCUAAGAAGCGUCCCAACUUCAAGGGAAAUCAUGCAGUUCUAUAUUAUUGAGACUGCAAAUCCUGAGCCUAAAAGAUUAUAUUACCUUGUGCACUUUAUCUGAAGCACGAAGUUUCGCGCUUGUUAUUUAGCACCUUAGGAACUUGUCUUCUUCGAUGUCAACAGCAACAUUUCGCAGGAAAUGUGGGUUAGCAAUAGCGCCUCUUCUCACUGUUUUAUACUAUUUGAUAACAUUAGAAGGAUUGUCUGAGGUAUUCAAUUAGGAUUUGCCUAACAUGUAAGACUGGAAUCUAAUGUUUGUGGAACUUAAUCAUUAAUUUGCACAUUGGAGACAAUACUUAAUGCCAAUGCACAACUUUUACAAUGAGAAUGUAACAUGACCAUCGGUUUCUUUUUUUUUUUUUUCUCCCUCCUCCAGUCUCAAAGGGUCUUAGAUUAGUGGUGGAGAGACGUUGAUCAACUAUGGUAUGCCCCUAUGGGAAUAUAAAUUACACCUUCAAACUUGCAACACUGUAUAUAAUUGUGAAGUGAUUUAGCACCUCUCCCGAUUUAGUUAAGCCUUUUAAACUCUGUGGGCUGGUCUGAUUCUCGUGGAGUCUCAAGGCCCCUUCCUAUUGAGAAAUCCUAAAACAACCAAGUCUCUUCUUUCUUCGUGUUGUUGUGACAUGCUUGCGAAAAUAAGUUCGAAUCUACAUUUGAGAGUAACACUUGAGUGUGUUUGGAUAGGAGAUUAUUUGAAAUAAUUACUGCAAUAUUUUUGAUGAUGUAACGUAUGUGAGAUUAAAAGAUUAUUAAAAAGAUAAAAAGAACUAAUUGAAAAUUAUAAUUAUGACGCAAGCAAAAUAAUAUUUGGAUGAAAAAAAUACCGGAUCUGAAACCUUUUCUUGCAUAAGACUUAGUGGUAGCUACUCACCAUAGUUUUGUAGUGACUUAGCUUUGGGCUUCGGCCUCCGUUUGACCCAAAAGAAAUAAAUUUCUUGUCUUUGGUUUUGCUGCCUUUUAUUUUAUUUUAUUUUAUGUCUAUGAGCUGUAUUAAUUCAACAUUUCUCCACUCUAUCUCCUGUAAAAUUCGACAUACCUUUCCCACUUUUUUGUUAUUGUUGAUUUUGCAUUGCUGGGUUGUCCAACAAAAGAGAAAGACGAGAAAAGUUUGAAACCUCACUUAUUUGAAAAAAAUAAAAAAAUUCCCGCAAGAGAACAUAUGUUGGACCCCUUUUCCUUCUUGUGAGGUUUAAAAAAGUCUGCCUUGAAUUGAAAUAGCAACACGUUAGCCCAAUUUUUCUAGCAAGCCCAACAAAACCAAAUUACCCAUUCUGGGUGGUCUUGGGAUUUGUUGUUCCAAGACCCAAAAGGACAGGGCUUCAAGUUUCACGGCAUAGUCCUCUCCGAGUCUCCUUAUCCUACGCAGCCCCGGCAAUCACCCGCCAAUUCCACCACCUAAAACGAUGGCUCAAACAACCACCAUUUUAUCCCUAACCGCCACACCCAAGCCAAUUCCCGCCAAACACACAGUCCGGAGCAACCUUAUCCUGCGCACCCUCUGCACUAUCCCACGCACUCAUCCCCUUCUAUUUUGUGCAAAUGCCAUCUCAGCAAAGCCUUUGCGAGCAAACCCACCUCAGAAAUACAUCUACCCUGACCCCAACCCAGAAUUUGCUGAAGCUGUAAAUCCCAUCUUUUAUUUUUGUUUUUUUUUUUUCCUGGUUGAAACAUGAAAUUUUGACAACUCCUAUGUCUCUUCUGUUUUUCUUAAAUCAAAAGUUUUACUUUACGCGUGCUUAAAAAAUUGAAACUUUUAACUCAACAUAUAUUUGGUCUAAAUUUUGACAUGUUUGUGGGAAUUUAGGAGACGAAAAAGUUCAGAGAGGAGCUGGUGAAGAAGCUAUCAAAAGAAAAGGAGACUUAUGGGGGUGAGCUUGAUGCUGUGGUAAAUGUCUGUACAGAUGUAAGUAGCUUGUUUUUUAAUGAUAGUUUAAUUUCUGUUGAUUGAAUGAAUUUUUGAAAAGUAUCUGACACUUCAUUGCACAAUUUAAUGGAAAAUAUAUCAAAUAACAUGAGGAUCAAAGACCGCAGUGCAGUUAAAAAUAUAGCAUGGAAUAUUACCUUCUAGAAUAAGAAAAUAAAAUGAGAUAAACGUCAAUCAUGAUACGGUCCUGGAGAGAUUUGAUUGGAUCAAUUGGGGAGUAGAAUUGAUUGUGCAGUAGAAGUUUUAUGUUUUUCACUCAGACCAAUUAUGUGACAUUUAAACUGGCAAAUUGAAUGAACGCGAUAUUUUUGGCUCAACAACUUGAAUAAAACUCGCGUUAUCACCUUCAUGAAAUGUGAAGGCUGAUGAUGGUUUGAUACCUCUGCAAUCUGCAUCAUGUAUCGGUAUUUCAUGCACCAUUUAUUCUUUCAUUACUCUUUUAGCUGUAGAUCUGAAGCACAUUAAUUUUGAGCUGCUACUUCCUUCUUCAUGUACUUAAACUGAGAGUAUUUUCAUCUUUGAUUUUUUUUCCCCACUCGCAAUCGGGACAUACUAAGAUUUUGAGAAAUUGUGGCCUUGAAUCAUUGUAAUUAGUAGCCAUUACUUCUUGUACCUCAUUAAGUUUCGAUGAUAAGUCAAGAGCCAGCCGACAUCAGCGAAGCUACAGAGGCAGCAGUCUCCUGUUUUUCAUUCGUUCCAUCAUCAUGAUACUUGACCUGGUUAAUUAAUUGCACAAAACCCAUGACGAAACACAGUCUACAAAACCCAUUACCGACCGACAGUGGAAGGGACACAUGACGAAAUCUUUCAAUCAGGCCUUCUCUUACUUACUUAAUUGCAAUGGAUAAGAAGAAAACUCGGUAAUUGCAGGAACUCCAGCUUUUGAAUGGAGUGGUACUACUGACUUGACAUUUUAUUCUUCGCAUAGAUGAAAUCUGAUCUUUCAUUGCUUAUUAGUAUUAUGUUUCGAGGGGAAUGCUACCGCUAUCACAGUCGGCUUCAAAAGGUGGUGCCGUAGGGUCUCGCUGGGCCAUAAUAAUAUGAUGGAAGCUUUCCCUUGUAGCACUAGCGCUGUCAUACAGACAUGCAAAUCACUACCUGCAUAAAUCUUUUGACUUUUCUGGGAAAAGAGACAAAUGGGGAAUCUGAAAUUCAGUAGUAUUUUUGGAUUUCAGUUCCUGUGAGUGCAUUUUUUUUGUAUCAUUUUAAUGGAUUGCAUAGUGAGAGGAAAGGCAAGGGCUGCCUUUUGGUUUCAUCCUUCCCCUUCCCGGGAGAGUGGCCAUAUUUCAUCAUGUUUGUCUUCUUAUCCUUUGCACUCUGGGAUAUUGGAAGCUGCUGCUUGUCCUCUUCUUGCACAGACUUAUCUUCGAAGAAUAUUCAAUUAAUAGGAGAUAUAGAAACGCGUUAAGAAAAAAAAAAUUCUCAAGAUAAAACAAGAGAAAAGUUGGUGGCGCAGUUGUUUCUUUGUUUCUCUGGGAUAUUCGAAGGUUUAUGGAAGAACCAAAUGCGACGGUCCAAAGAUAAGUGAGGAGAGAAACUUAUGCCAACCGUGACCGCCGUUUGGAGCAAUUUGACAUGGGGGUUCAUACUGUUCAAUAAAUAAAUGCAAUUGAAGAGAGCUCAGAUUUGCAGAAUUUUGAUGAACUUCUCUGGCGAAGUAAUUGCUUGCAGAACUAUUAAAUUACUCCCUAUUAUGAACUUGAAACAUCUUUUCCUUUGGGAUCUGACUUGUUUUGACCUAGAUAUGGUUGAGCUAUUGAAUCUUGGAAGAAAUAUCUGAUCUUAAAACCAGACAAACCACAGUUCUAACCUUUUUCCAGUUGGAUUUGACAAUUUCUGCCAGCAAUUGUCUAGUAAUAAAGCUAAGCCCUUGAUUUCAUUUAACUGCUACCAAGUGUUGAAUGGCUUAAGAAUGAUAAUGGUUCCAACUUCCAAGCCACUCCUUUUAAACCUGUUUCUUUAUCACAUCAGAUAUUUAGCGAAUUUCUGUACUCGGAGUACGGAGGACCUGGAACAUUAUUGGUGGAGCCUUUCACUGAUAUGAUGGUGGCACUGAAGGAGAAGAAACUUCCUGGAGCGCCUUUAGCUGCACGAACAUCCUUGUUAUGGGCUCAAAAUUUUCUUGACCGCGACUGGGAAAUUUGGAACUCUACACCAGAGAAAUGAUAGUAGUCUUUUGUGGUGUACUGUACUAACUACCAAUAUUUCCAUCCGUUGUUUCCUUUCCGAUCAACCGAGAGAACUAAGUAGAGAAGUAAUUUGCAGGUUCAUUAUGAUAUAUUUGUCAUCGAACAGUGUAAGUUCUCAUUGCUCUCCUAUCUAUUAUACAUCGAUAUGAUUACUGAGCAUCUACGGCUGAAAGAGUGAAACGGUGUACAGAUAUUGGAAUUCACUUUAGUUCAUUCGCUUGAACUGUAUUCCGUCGCUAUGAACAGAAGAUACCUCAGCUUGCAGCCUCAGAAAUGCUCUGCAAAGAGGGCCGCCAUGAUUUAGACCUGCCAAUGUUUGUUGAUCCUGGCCGCUGCCAUUGCUUUUCGUGUCUUGUCACCUGAAAUGGUUAAUUGUCAAUGAGAUCAAUAAUCCUGGGUAGGACAGGUUAAUCAUCAUGAGAUGCUUGUAUUGACCCUUCUAGCCUAAUCCUGGGUAGGACUUUUGCCCAUCAUGUGCUUUUGUUUGUCAGAAAUUGAUAUCUUUAAUUUACAGAAAUCCAUGAAAAGGCCAAAUCAGAGAAUCAGAUGUCCAUGAAAGCUGCCCGGUCAUUUUUUAAAACAUAACAAUCUCCAGCUGUUCCAGUUUUAUUAUGACUAAGAAAACGUACAAAAAUUUAGGAAGAUGUCCUAACUGCUGCAUAAAUGUAUAAUAUAUUAGAGCGAAAUUGCAGUUGCCAAGUUCGAGCUGCAGCUGAUUGGCCGAAAUAGUUUACCUGGCGGUUGUUGUUGUCCAGUUCAGACUUCCCUGUUUCUGCCCCGCCGCUUGAACCUUGCUUUUCUGGUUGUGCUUCCAACUUGACAAUGGAUUCUGCCUGGUUCUUCUUCAUCCUUGCAUGCUUCUUUGCUCUCAAUACUUUCAUAACCUCUGAAACACCAAAAAGCAACUCGAACUUCAAUUCAGGAAUCACAUAAUGAGCUCUUCCCUCGAAUAACAGCAACUUGGGGUAUAUAUUUUUCCAAGAAACGAGAAAAAGUUGUGGAAACUGAAAUCAACAUUAUGAUGUAAAGAUUACUACGUCAAAUCACAUGGGCUCAAUCUUUAUCGCCCUUAUGACAUACCAUUUCCCCCCCCCCCCCCCCCCCCAAAAAAAAAUAAUAAGGGGACAAGAAAAAUUGGUAGCAGAGUAAAACAUGAACGAUACCUUGAGUUGUGACCAGUCUGUAAGCUCUGCCAAGAACUAGAGUUUCGCUAGGCCUCAGAAGCUUUACCCGAGUGAACCGAACCGUUUUAUCAUCUGAAUUCUCCUCACCACCAGUCAUAGGCAGCGGAAUUAUGAGAGAAACAUAAUGACCAGGAUUCAUCUUCAUGACUUCACUAGCAGUCACAGGCCAAUACAUCCUAUCUAUCCUUCCACUUGGAUGUUGUAUUACCAGUGCUGCAGCAUCCACGGCCUGACAGUUUCCCAUCUAUGUGUAUGCACUUUUAUCUAUCCUUGUCUCUCUAGAAAUUUAAUCAAGAAACAAGAAGUCUAUAGAGUAGAACACAAAAGAUUGGUAGCUAGAUAAGGGAGGAAGAAGGAAGGAAGGAAGGAAGGAAGGAGAUGGAACCAAAUAAGCAAAGAGUCUCUUUCUAAGCAGUACCCACCAAAGCAGGGCCACUCCACCAGUCCACCUCCUUCAUACUCCCCACAGCACAGGACAACGGUAAAAUAGGUCUCACUCAAUUACCAAAGCCGUCCCUCCGUCCCUUCCCAGCCAACUCAUCCAUCCAUGCUAGUUGCUACUAGUACUCCUACAAAUUGUUUUUCUUUUUCUUUAUUUAAAAAUUCAAAAAUUUAAAUAAAAUUAAAAGACUGGGAUAUACAAGUAGUUAAUGUUGCUUGAUGGCUGAUUAUUAUAGACUGAAACUCAAAUGCUACAGUAUUAUUCUGGAACCUAUAAUGGUAGUAAUAAUGGGCAUAUAUGAUUAGUUAAGGCAGUAUUUUUAUUUUUUAUUUUUUAGUAUGUUAGUAAAAUGCAGGCUAAUUUGAUUAUGUCCCUGUGUCAUGGGGCCGGCAACGUUCCUCAUAUGCUGCUGAGGUUGCCACGUGGUUCGGCGUCAAAGGUGAUGAUCUUGGACGGGCAUGCUCGGCGGUGUCGACGGGGUCAAGAUUUGGAUUUCUGCCGAUAAAUUCAUUUUUUUUUCGAAUUCUUCAAAUUCGUCAUAAAUAAUCCUCAGGUCAACUCAUUGUGCCUCUAGCCCUAUACUUAACUGUACUACCAAUAAAAACGCAAAAUCAAGGCGUGCAGCUGAGAUUCCAGCAGAGUUUAUCUUAGCUGUGCUCAUAUAGUAGUAAUUGUUUGGCUGUGCUCAUUAUUGUAGCCCUGAACUAUGUUAUAUGUUCCAAACCACUUGACUUAUUCUGUUUCAAUUAAUGUGAUUGGUGAAGCUCAAUAAAUUUAGAAUAUUGUGGAUUGGUGAAGCUCAAUAAAUUCAGCAGUGUGUGAUAUGGGAUUGGAUUUGUCUGAAUUUAGUUUUCUUGAAGUCUUCUUUAUACUUAAAAAAUUUGGAUUUCUGGAUAAUUUAGUUGUUUUGAUGCCUUGUCUAUACUUAAAAAUUUGGAUUUAUGAUUUCCAUUGACUUGCAUUUUCCUUCUACUUUCUUUGUUCAUUUUUUAUCCUCCUGAGUCAGUCCGUCAGUUGGAACUUCAAAAACAAAAGAGAAUUUUUUUUUUCUCUCUCAUGAAUAUUACAUAAACAUUUAAAUUAAAAAUUCUCACUUCUGAUCUAAAGAAAGUUAACGUUCCUUGUUUCUGAAUGUCAAUCAAUUACUUCCUGUCUCGUCUGGAAGAUUUAUUAAUUUUCUCCUUCAAACAAAAAAAGAUUAAAUUUCCGAAUUCCCAAACACGACUUUAGAAGAAAGCUGGAAAGAUAGUACUGUAGUAAUUAAUUAUUUGGGUUCUCGGACACACCUUGUUUGACUUCUCCUUGGUCCUUAGUUCGUGGUUGUUGUGUUAAGAGAGCAUUAGAAUGACUUCUCCUUGGAAAAAAAAAAAAAAAAAAAAGAUGAAAAAAGAGUCACUUUCACAUAGUUGUCUGGGCAAAUAAAAAAGAAUGUUCUUGUUGCUAUAACCUCCUAAUAAAUAAAGCAUUGGUUGGUGUGUAACAUUGCAUUAACUCUCACCUCAGCCUGCUGCGUUUGUCCCCUGCUGUUUUCCCAUUUAUUAACCUCUAAUUAAAAAUAACAAAAAAUUCAAUUCAAACAAUAUAUGAAAUAGGUUGAAUUAUCUCUCACAUGGAAGUUCACUUUAAAUUUUCAAUGGCUUAUUAUUUGUCGAUGCUAAAUCUCUCAAUACCAUUUUUCUUGGUUUAAACAGAAAAUUUAAACAUUAGAAUCCUGACUUCAAAUAUUUUAACCGAUCAUGAUUCAGAGGAGAGAAUAUAAGUGAAAGAUUCCAGAUACGAGACCUCCUCUGCUGCUUAUGCUUAAAAAAAAAAGAAAAAAGAAAAAGUGGCCAUGAUCUAAUCUUGAUUUGGAGGCCAAGAAUAACAGUACCGUAGUAUCUAUGAAAUUGUCAACAACAAAAUUGUAUCUUAAUACGAUAGCUUUCUGUUAUUGUCGAAGCUCCAUUGUCCGCAUACCGUUCUAAUAUCUUUGCCAUUUGGGUUACAUAUAUUCUAUACAUAUCGAAUGAACCAUACAUAUUUGAUGAUGUUGAUCACAGGACCUGGUGUGAUCUACUUACCUAUGCAAUCAAAGUUUUGGAAACCGCCAAAAAAAAAAAAAAAAAGAGUUUUCUUGGCAAGUGUUAAUUAGCAGAUCUUUAGAUUUUUCAUUCCUCAGUCUUUCAUCCAUGGGAGCUCCGGAGGGUGAAUAAUUAGUUACGCACAACUCUCAUUUCAUGAUGACUAUAACAUAGCGGAUGGAUACUCAUCACCCCCGCAGCCGCUGCAUCAGAAAGUUAUACUUUAAAAUAAAAUUUUGGCAAACUUUAAGCUUCUUGAUUGUUUAAAUUUAUACUUUAUUCACUUGGCAACCUUCAGGAUAGAAAGAUUAAAAACAUGGUCUCGAAAGAAAUCUGAUUCUUCAAAAGUAGUUAUGAGAAUCCACAAGACAGCAGAGAGAUAAGAACUUAACCCUGAAGCAGCGCCAAGAAAUUAAUUUACUACACACUUCUUAUCUUAGAAUUGAUGAGUAUCUUAUUGAACUUUGAGCACAGACAGAGAAUAUUUAGUAAAUGGAGGGGGGCAAAAAAAAGAGAACGUAAUCUUAGUAAAGAUCUUUGACUCCUGUAAAUCUGGUUCAAUUAAAUAAAACCACUUGUAUGAAUCUGAGAGCAAAGUUUGAAGAUCUUCUCUAGUACUUAUUAUUAUUAAUCCAGCCUAGUUUAAAAUCGAGAUGAGUAAACAUCUGUUGGUUUAAUGUCAGAUUAUGUAAGCCAUGUGAGAUGUUGGGGAUCUUCAGCUUAAACAAUAAAUGAUGAAUGGACAAUUUUUUGUUCAAACAUGACCAGUGCUGUAGGGGACUACAACCAUUUCUUUUUAAUGGCUCCUAACCUCUUAUCUCGCCAUGGAAUCCCUUCUAUUAUUAAAUGGUACUCGAUCAAUUUAGAUGAUCAACAAACCGUAGUAACCUUACAGAUAUAUGUACUGUGUGUACGGGAAAAAAAAUACUGUAAUACUUUUUUUGAUGUGAUGUAUAUGAGAUAAGAAGUUAGUUAAAAAAUAUAUUUAUAAUGCAAACAAAUAAAAUUAUGCAAAUAAUAAACUAUCAAAACAAACCUGCGACAUGACUUGUUGCAUAUGACUACGUACCUAUAUUUUCUACUAAUAUGAACAGCAUUUAUUGAGUAAAAUUGAAGUCAUGGGAAUUGAAACUCUCAACCAUUUAGGAUAAUGGGAUUGUGCGGGCGCUGUUGUCAGUGGGGUUAACUGGUUAAGACCUUUUGUUUGUGGAGGAUGUAUAUUCAUGAUUUUAAAGUUGCUUUCUCCACAUUCCUCCCCUAUUAUAGCAAUCCAAAAAGUAUUGAUUUAGAUUUAUUUAAUUUAAAGAAUAGUCAAGGAUUGAAGGAUUAAAAUAUUCUCGUGCUCAAGAUAGUGAUGGCAGGACGAAAGAAGAUUAGAACAAAAAAACAUAUUAAAGCUCAUGUUAUCUGCCGAUAUGCGUUUGAUGAGGAUUCAAAAAGGCGAACUACUAUUUUGACACCAAAAAAAAAGAAAGGCAAACUACUAGUUAAGCAUGUUUUUUCCUAUGCAGUCCUGUCAUGAUAGUGUGGACACCUAUUUGAGUCAACAGUCAGAAUUUUGUAGCUAGAUCGAAGAACACUGGAGCUAACGUAAAACGCCUCUUUGUUUUUUUUUUUUUUUUGUAAAACGCCUCUUUGUUGUUCGACAAUAUUUUUCUCAACUAAUCAACGCGAAAUUGUGGACUACUUUAUCUAGGUGGUGUCUCAUUCCCAAUCAAUCACAACGUUAUUUUUUUUAAGUUUGGAUGAUUUUGACUCCAUUCAGCAUCAUCACGAGUCAAGAAAUGUUUCGAGAUCGUAAAUCGAUUAAAAAAGUAUUUAUAGACUACUCAUUAAAACAGUUCUCAAAUCAGCUAUAAGAAUCGAAUAUAUGAACACAGUUAUUGCCUUCAAACCGGAAUUCGACCUGACCAAGUGUUAACCAAUUAUAAUUUAUAACGUAGAAGAUGAGCAACUAUUAAAGGUGCUAUAAUUGGUUAUUCAAAAAAGAAUACAGUACUAUUUCUAAUCCGGUACAGUUACUUAAGCUUUUCCUAGAGUUAUUUUGGAGUGGAGGCCAGAAGAGUGAGAUUAUCGGUCGGUCAUGGGUGAAAGAGUAGAUAGAUUUGAGGAAGUAUCUCUUCCUUUUUCUUUCUUCUUUUUGUGUUUUUUCCCUCCAAUCCUCUUCCCCGUAAAGACUUUUACGCUCUAGUCUAGACCAUUGUAUUGGCUUUAUAUGUGCAUUUGAUCUUAGGCAAAAGGCCAGGAAAAAGUCUAUGGUAAUAUCAGCACAUGCUAAUAAAAUAUGAGUAAAUUUUAUAUGCACAGAUAGUGUAUACACUAUUACCGUUAUAUUCAUGACAUAUGUGUAAAAGUUAAAUUUGACGUUCAAAAUUUGCACAGUGGUCAUUCAUCCAAUGCUGACACUGUCAGUGUAGGGAAGAUUAAUCCAUAAAAUAUUUGCAUCCCUUAUUUUUUUUAAGAGCUCCUUCCAAGACUUGAUAAUCUAUCUCCCCCAGUGAAUUUUUUUUUUUUUUUACCUUCACUUUAUUUAAUUUGUACUACGUAAUGUAAUUAGUAAGCGGAGUCAUCUGUAGAUUUGGUUUCAUACUGUUAUAACAUUAACCGAAUUGCUGGUAUUAUGUCCAAGGCUGUUCUUAUAGAAAUAUCUGUUCAAGGCUUCGCUAAUAUAAAAUGGCAAAGGGUUCACUUUUUUUUUUUUUUUUUUUUUUUUGAAGAAAAGGCAAAGGGUUCACUUAAAUAUUACGAAAAAGGGGGGAAAAAAAGGCACGCACACACGCACAUAUAGAGAAGGACAAAGACGUCCAUGUGAUUCGCUUUUCAUGUGAUGGAUAGAAGAGAACAAUUGCACGGUAGGGUGACCGUGUCGUCGGUAGACCAUAGCAUAGAACCGACUAAAUAUUCAAUUUAAUAUGAUAAAUAUAUAACUCGAGUAAGAGGAAAGCGUCCACGACGCAGCACCCAUAACCACAAGUGCUUUUCAAAGUUUAAUCCACAACCUAUAGAGAUGUAAGAGGGGAAAAAUGCACUUUUCAUCCCUAAUGUUUAAGGUGUUAACCAAUUUCAUCCCUAAAGUUUCAUGCAAAACACAUUUUAUCCUUAUAAUUUUAUAAUUUUGAUUAAUUUCAUCCUUCAAGUUUUACGCAAACACAUUUCAUCCUCAUAAUUUCCUAAAUUUGGCUAAUUGAGGACAAUUGGUAGAUUGUCAAGCAAUUUGAAUGGGAUAGCGUCACUUGAUCACGGCAUGCCUAUUAGGUAAAAAAAAAAAAAUUGGAUCGACAAAAAGCUCAAAAAUCUUUUCUUAAUUCACUUUCUCAUUUUAAUACAAAAAAAGACUAAGAAAUUUUUAGCUACGAUUACUUUCUUUUUAAUCACAAUCGAACAAGAAGAUCCAAAGAAAAUGAAGUCAGUGGGAAAGAAACAAUCCCACUAUAGCCAAUUGAAGAAAAAUGUCAAACAGACCCAAUACAACUAAUUGGAGAAAAAUAUUAAUGCAAAAGAAUGAAUGGUUUGGAUUGUCAUUUAUUUGCAAAAUUUUGUUUUGUUGCAUCAUAUACUUAUUUUUCAAUCAUCUAUUUAUCUUUCAAUCUAUUUAUUUAGUUUCAAAUAUAUCAUAUCACAAUUUAAAGGGAAAAAAAAGAGAUAGUCUCCUAUCCAAAAACACUUGUUGUUAUUUCUAUACAUUAAUCAAUAAUUGAAUUAAGUAUUAAUAAUACAAUUAUUAAUGGGACAUGUGAUGAUAUUAUGCCUAAAUUGUUAACAAUCCUUUAAUUGUCCUUAAUUGGUAGGAAUUGUAAAACUAUGAGGAUGAAAUGUGUUCUACAUAAACUUUAGGAACAAAAUUGGUCAAAAUCACAAAAUUAUGAGGAUAAAAUGUGUUUUUUAUGAAACUUUAGAGACGAAAUUAGUGAACACCUUAAAUAUUGGGGAUGAAAAGUGCAUUUUUCCCGAUGUAAGAGUAUAUACUUGCUCUAGAGUAAGGCUGCUGGCAGAGGUGGUUUUGGGACCAUCUCUUUCUCUAAAACUGCACUUUCGUUGCCUCUAAUGAUGUUGGUUUUAUGCUUGCGUUCGAUGUUCCUAAAGAAAUCUAUUCAUUAAAUUCUCAUCAUUGCUAAGAUUUUGGUCAAAAGUACCAUGCGCCGGUCUCAGACUAAAUUCUUUCAAUUAUUGGCUCAAGCUUAGUUAACUGAGACCAUUCAAUGCCAUUUGGUCACACUGAAAGAUUUCUUUCUUUUUUUGUUUUUUCAAUUAUAAUCAUCUAUAUCUACACCUACUUCUACUCUAACCUAUUCUAGGGGGAUUUUUUUGUCAAUUGUAAUCAUCUACACCUACUUCUAUUCUUACUUUAAUCUAUUCUAGGGGUGACUCUGUUGAUCGGAAACAGAUCAUGAGAUUGAACCAUCAGCAAAUCAUACGGGUGUAGUACGCACCUAUAUGGAUCUAAGAGAAGUCACAUUAAGUGGUAAUUUUGAUAGAAGACAUGUGGUAGCCAACUAAUCUAGAGGUAGUUGGGUAACAUUUCUUGGAACGCAGCCAAAAUAUGGUGCUAAAGCGGAAUGCAGAAGUGCCAACCUUAGGCAUAUGCUCCAAUUAUGGUCAUUUGAUCAACCACAAUCUCCCCAGUUGCGUAAUCGGCUUUGUUCUGUUUCUUGUACUCUUUUGGAGGCUUCCCUUUAUCUUGUUCCAAGCUCUUAGAGCAGCAUAGCUAAUACAUACAAACACGUGCCUGAUCUUCAGAAGAUACAACAAUUUUCUUCAUUGUCUGGAUAAAGGGUAUACGGAUGAAAUACUUUUUUGUUUAGCGUACGUACCUUUAUAUAUAAUUUUUUGUUCCAUUGGUUUAAAAGUCAGGCGAGAAUUAAGCCGGCCGCUUUCCAUUACUAGCAUCGAUUAGUCAACAUGCGAGCGAUUAGCUCAAGAAGAAACUCAAAAUAUUCGAUGAUGCCCAUAUCAUCAAGGGUACUCUCUAUAUAUAUGUGCAGAUAAAGAAUCAAGUAGCUAGGGAAAGAAUCUUUUUCAUUUUUAAUUAAUAGAGAGUUAUUGAGUUGGGCUCAUACCAAGGCAACGCCAAGAAAUUCUAAGGCCUAAAACUGCAAAAAGCCAGGCGCCAAUGGACGGCAUUAAAAUGUUCAUUUGGCGAAGUAGUAUAAUAUUCUAUUAAUUGAGACCAGGUGUCCCUUUCGAUUUUGGGCAAGCAGAAGCAUAUUUCAGCCAGGGAUUCUAGUAGCGUGAAGGUUAUAAAAAAGUAAUAUUAUUAGUUCAGAGUGAGUGUCGUAUAAAAUUUCAAAACUACAGAGUGCUUUGAACUUUGAAGAGGGCUAAGCGGACGACAUUUUUGACUGAUUCUUUUCAUACCAUUUUCCUGCCUUGUACUAACUAACUGGAGAAAAAAACAAAUAGAACCGAGGAAAACGUGUAUUUCAUCACUUUGUCAAGUUCUGCGAGAUCAAAUUAGUCAGUUAGUACCACCAUCUAAAACUGAUUAGUAUGUUUUUGCCUUCUUAUUUUAGUGCUGAAAGAUGGAUAAACUUUCUAAUGUUUGCGUAAUUGUAGUGAUGGAUGGAUGCUCGGUCAAGCCAGCUAUAAGUGCCGCCCUUUAAACACACUGAAAUGACCACGAGCGACAACAUUUGCCCACUUUUUCAUGUUGAUUUGCAUAGUUGUCCACUAAAGCAGGAGAAAAAAGGGUUGAAAUAACGUUCUUCCACAAUCGCAGUAACAUCAAGAGCAAAAUCUGUUUUGUUUUAGAGCGAAAAAACAUCAACAAAUCAGUCCAAUAAAAGCGCAAGGAAGAGCACCUUUUGGGAAAGCUUUGUCGAGCUUAAUGCACUAAGAGACGUCAUCCUCCUACACAUUUGACAUUUGAACAGUGGUGUUGUCUGGUAAAUUUACGCCAAAGGAAAAGGAGAAAGAAUGCAUGAAUGAUGAAACAAAGUUGUGCACUUUUUCAUUUCAUGAUUGCGAUCACUCGUGUGCAUGCAAGGUACGUAAAAAAGAUCAAAAUUGAAACUCAUAUCAUCUCAUCUUAGUGAGUGAAUGGAAGAAUUAUUGGUACUUUUUUUUUUUUUUAUUAAUUUGGAAGAUGUUCAUGAUGUGGACGAAUAGGAGAUUGGCACAUGAUCAAGUUUGAGCUAGCUCGCAAGGUGUUUGAUUAGGAUGAUAUCACAUCAAGAGCUUUGGGUGCCUCAAAUUUUGAAGACACUAUAAUGGAAUAAUUCCAAAUCCAAUUUGCAGUAACAGAAGCGUGUAGGUGAUAGGUCAUUCCGUUUUCAAUCCUUUUUUUCCUUUCUAGUCUGGAAUUGCCUUUACUAACCGGACCACAUCACCUCUAUAGUCGCAUGCAUAUUCUUGUUGCCUUGCCUUGAGAGAUACAAUACCAUUUCUUUCGAGGUUCCACUGUUAGCUUUCUUUCUUCUCUUUUUUUUUUUAAAGGAGUGAAUAGUUAUUGGCUUUGGUUUUGAAGGGCUGCCAUGCACAGAAUACGGUCGCUGGGACUUGGUGUUGAGCCCAGAUGGUUCCAAACCUUUUGGAAUACCAAACGAAAGGUAAGUUUUACGAAAGCACAGCGUGCAUGCAUGAUUUCUCCCGGGCACUAAUACGUUCCUCCUCCCACAUUUUGAGGUGGCAAAGUACUCCCUCCGUCCCACUUUGAUAGUUCUGAUUUUUUUUUUUCACACAAUUUAAGAAAAAGUAGUUAACUUUGUUGGAACAAUCAAUUUAGGUAGCUAUUUUCCUAAAAUACCCUCACAUUAAUUAGAAUACAACUUUAUGGGAACUUGAAUUGAUGGUACAAAAAGAAUCAACUCUCAUUAAAUAGGGUAGAUUUAUAGUAACAACAACUUACAUUGAAUAAGGGUAUUUUAAGAAAAUUAAAAUACAACUACAUUCUUUAAUUGGAAAGUGAAUUACAAUUUAGGACAGACGAAAAAGGAAAACAUGACUAUCAAAGUGGGACGAAGGGAAUAAUUGUGAAUAUAUGUGUAGGAAGCAGGAACCAUAGAAAGGCGAAAGCGAAAUUUAUGGUCAGAAACUUUAAUUAUGGAUCUUUGCCUAGUGGGCUUGAGGACGGUGGAAUUUUGAGCCCAUUAAUGGGCACUCUUUGAUCUGGGCCAGAUUCAGAGAGUUCCUCUCUUUCUCUCUCUCUCUCUUUUUUUUUUUAAAAAAAAAAGAAAAUCUUAUCCUGUAUACAAAUUUCACCAUUAGGCAAAAGAGAAAGAAAGAAAGAAAUGGUUAAUUUAAUAAAAAGACAACUCCCAAGUCACGACUCACAAUUCACAACCAAAAUUAACAAAGUUACGUCACAUAAAUGCAGAAUCCGUCGCUUCGCUACCACAACUUUGGAGUUGUUAAAAUGUACGUAUAUAGGAGAAGAAUGUCUAGGUCUAUUAUGUAUGAUUCAUACUGAUGUGAUUGCAGGAUAAAAAAAAAAAAAAAAAACAAAAGCGGAAUGAUUACACUGAGGGGAAGAACUUGUUGAGGUUGCAAGGUAGAGAGUAGAACUCUUCGCUCCUCGUGUCAGAUUUGUAUGAGCGGAAUCUAUCCCACCAUGGCAACCCCCUGUCCCUGCUUGUUGCACUACCUUUCUUAUGCAGCGUGACGUCCAGCAGCAACGCCAACAGCCCAGCCACGAAUGCCUCAGACGAGAAAGGCACGUUAAUCAUGUCGUUGAACUGACCACAAGGAAUCGAACAAGUUUUUGAUGCCAAUAUUCUACCAAAAUGAAAUGCAGAAAUUUGAUGUACGGUACUUACCCAUCUCGCCCUCGUAUGAACAGGACCCAUGCCAUUCACGGCUGUGUACUCGUUGAAGUAUUGCGGCACCGAUAAGCCCAUAAAGACUGAGGAUCCCAAUAUGAAUUUUGUUCUGAAGCUGUUCAAGUUGCAGAACUGCAGAUAACUGAGUCCUGCUGAGCCUGUUCGCAUCAUCAUCGAUGUCAAAAAAAAAGAUUAGUUAAGCACAACUUGAAAAUAUAUGGUGGCUUUGAGAUUAUACAGGUAGGUUUGUAGACGUGCUUACCAACAUAGGCAAAGAAGAGGCAAUAUAGAGCUGCAACAAUGGGGGCUGGAAUUGAAGCAAAUAUAGCUCCAAAUUUCCCUGUGAAUAACCGCCGAGGCAUCAGAUGCAGCGCAUUUUGCAAUUGCACUUCAACCAAGAAAGAAGAGAAGUUUGUUGGAUAAUCUACCUAGUAUUGAAAAGAAUAUCAUAAAACCAGCAGAUAUUUGCACUACUCUUCGGCUUCCCACGCGUGUCACUGCCAGCAGACCCGCAUUUUCACUGUUUCAGAGGGGAAAAAAAAGGAGGAACAUUUUCCGCUGAUUAGGAGUCGGGCUAUGAAUUGCAGGACGUGAUGGAAUGAAAGCUUCGCUAAAUGAUUAAUAAGAAUCUUACACAGAAACUGAUGAUCCAUUUCCUGUUCCAAACAUUCCCGAUAACAAUAUUCCGAUUCCCUUCAUUGAAUAGAGACACAACCACUAGAUUAUUAGACCAGCAAGAAUCAGACAAAAAUGCUUUUUAGUUUUUGAAAACCUCCUAUUACGCAUGAACUAGCUAAAAUUGAGUUGUUCAGCCUUGUUCUCAACUCUGUCUGAUAACCACCACUUUUAUCGGCCGGAGAAGGGCUCAACAGGGAGAGUUAGAGAAGACUCGAGAUCAUGGUUCAAAGACUCGGCCGAGAAAGAAACGAGAUAUACUAGCAAAAGAGAUAGAAAGCAUCUACUCGAAUUACCUGCCAGCCAACACCGCGGCUAAGGACUGACGGUGGAACAGGAGUUGCACUAGCAUACCUCGCUACAGCCAUGAAAGUACCUGUGGACUGGUAUAUAAAAUCAGAUGUCAACCACGAGUUAUAUAAAAUUUUAGCAUCACUAUAAGUUGCUUAAAAUUAUAUGCCAAUCGGAAAUUGCAAUCAAUCAACCAAAAAAAAAAAAAAAGAAUGCUAGUCCUGAGCUAAUGGUAAUGGCAAUGUUUAAACUCACUUCAACAAGAGAAACAAAAGAAGCUGCCAUCAUUGCAAAUGCUUCUCCAGCAUCGAAUGUGGGAGGUCCCCAUUGAAAUGGGUAUGGAAGUCUAAUCCUGCAGUAAGUUUCAGAAAGCUCUCAAGAUAGAUAGAGAAGUAAAAUGGCAAUUCACCUUCAGUUUGUGCAAAACUCUUAACAGAAAGCAUUCGUUGCUUAUGAUAUGUAACUACACGUUUGUGCGCUUGAUGUAUUGCAAAUGAAAGCAGCAGUUUAUGUUUGAAUAAUAUUAGUUACUAAAAAUACUGUGUUCUAAAGAUUUCUAUUAGAGGUAAACCUCAGUGGUCUCUACCUUCAUAUACAUUAUCUACAUUCAGCCUUACCAAGGAGCAGCACCAACAAUUCCUGCACGAUCUGUUCUGCAGGUUAACUGAGUCUUUUGUGGAGUGUUCUUGUAGGCUCCUCCCACCGUGAGAAGGUGGGCAUAAAUCCACACAAUCACCACCGAGAAGAGAACAGCAAACCGGUCAAAGACAUGUCUUCCUCCCUUCGUCAGGUGGGGUAUGUACUGCAAAACGAUCAGAAACUUGGGUUAAAAGCUGGAAUAUAUUCAAACACUGGGGACUAAUAUGUACAAGACGUCCAAAGAAAAAGCUUUUCUUGUCAUUUGUGCUCACCUGUGAAAAGAUAACCAGGAGGAUAAGUUGUGGCAAUCCAAUUUCAACACAUUUUGCAAGCUGCAUGUAUAGCACAACAGUUAAUGAUCACAUCCGGAAAGCUGAACAGCACAUACAACUGGAGUAUUAGGGAAAAGCAAAUUGACUUGAAAUUUUCUUGGAAGUACAGAACAAUUAGAUUAGAUUUUUUUGGGGGGGGGGGGGGGGUGGUGUAGGAAAGAACAAUUAGAUGCUUACUAGAGGAAAACCAAAUUCAUACAAUCCAAAUCCAGAUAAAGCCACCAAUGGAAUUGCAGAAAGUGGGCUCAUGAACCUGGCAUUGUAAGCACAUGCGUAAGUCAGUUGGACAGAUGUUUAGAGGAGUCACGAAACAAUCCACAACAAACAUCAUAUCACCAGACAAAAAAGAAAAAGCUACUGGAAAAACAUAUAAGGAGGAAAACAAAAAAGAAAAAAAGAAAAAGCUCUGCAUAUCCUUGUUGCUGAGUUUUUACUAUAGUAAAAUAUAACCUACCUUGUGACGUUGCGCCAAAGGCCACUAAAACCAAUUAUAAUCUGGAGAGUUGAUGCUACAAUCAUGGCUCCCUGAAUUCCCCUCAUGAUUUUCUGAAAUCUCUGCAUAAGCAGCACCAGAAGGGAAUGAUGGAAUGAACACCUAUCAAUAGAAGACAAAAGUAUGAGGAGUCUCAAUAGCGCACCUCCUGAGGCUCUGGAAUACUGCUAUAUCGCCCUGCCAAGACAAUUGAAAGUGUUGUGGGUACAAAUGUAUAAGAGCCCCCAAUUACAGCAGGUAAUCGUGUCCCAAAAAAUGUCUGAGUCAAUGUAUUCAACCCAGCAACAAACAGCAGCGUCUGAAUCAUCUUUGCUUUCUCUUCCUGACCAGGGUAAUUAUAAAUACGCAUUAGAUAGAUUUAGAAGCAACAUGAAGUGAAAGUAUAAGAAAGCAUUUGUGCCCAUGUCAGAGAAUUUACAUUUCCUCCUCCCAUUUGGGGAACCAAAGUGGUGGGGAUAAGAACAGUUGUCCCAAGCAUGACAAGGUAGUGCUGGAACCCAAGUAUAAUGGCCUCAGCUGCAGUCAAAAGAUCCAUGCACAUUAGUUACAAUCACAUCAUCUUCACAAAAAAUGCAGGUUAACAGCCUAUAAGUCUACCCGACAUACACGCACAGAAAUAAAAAAAUAAAGAAUUAGAAGAAGAUGAACAGCAGAGAGCAAGCACAGAAAAUAAUUAAAAGAAGAAGGCAAGGAAUGCGAAAUUUACAGAAAGUUCAAGGAGUAGCGUAAUGCCAACACAGAGAAUGAGCGAAAAAGCCAAAGAAUCACAUUCCAAGCAGAUGGACUAAAUGCCAAACAAUCAUUAGUCCUUGAAAACACAUUUCACAAAAAUUGAACUCAAACGGAGGAGAAACGGGCUACAGAAAAGAAACUAAGGUGCAAAGAGAUAAUUUUCCGCAGUAAUCACCACGGACAAAAAUUCCAGGGAGACAUUUCUACAUGCAAAUGCUCCAAGAAAGAGUUUUCGAAAGGUGCCGGAGAAAAACUCAUACAUCCCAUCAAACAGAUUUUGGAAAAAAAUGCUAUACAAAAACAAAAGCAAGCACUCCUAGAAGAAGUCCCUAAGAGAAGAUUAGGGAGACUCACGCCAGGGUGGAGGGCUAGUAAUGCAGUAAGAAACAUUAGGCAAUUGAUCUUUCACUGGAUGAGGCUGCAGCUCAUCUUGCUUUGGUGGGGGCGCAGCAGCUCCUCCACCUCCUGCCAUUACUCUGCUGCUUCUUGAUCGUUUCUCUUUACAACAAUAUAAGUAAAGGAUUUUACUUCCCAAUACACUAACAAGUAACAAAUCUCCACAAAAUCCCAAAUCCCAAAUCCUCUAGAAAGUCUGACCAAAUCCCAAGCUAUUAUUAUACGCCAAAACCAGAACUCCAAUCCCAAAAAGACGACUCUUACAAGCUACAAGUCCACUAAAGUAAGAGGGGGGAAAAACAAAAAGACUUCUUUCUCUUUUUUUUGAAUAAGCAGUUAUAUUAUGAGAAAUGAGAGUGAUCGAUGGCCAUGGGGUAACGGGCCACAAUACAACAAACAAAGGGCUUAAACGCUCUAGUUGAAGGAACCAAGAAACAUACUUCUCUCAUUCCACUAAAGCGAAUGUGAAAGAAAGAAAAGAAGACAGAGAAGGAGAAAGAGAACAAAAGAAAGAAAAAGAAGCAAAGAAAUCCCUCAAGUAAGAAAGAACCAAAAUGGUUCUCUUCAACACUUCCCAAAAAAAUAAAAAAAAAAAGAAGAAUCUAUCUUUCUCUUACUACUCUCAAAUUUUAAAUCCGUUACAGGGAUUUGAAAGUUGGAACUUAAAGUCAGUCUUAAGGCGUUUCUUCCUUCCUUUUUCUUUUCACACGGAAAAGAUAAAGUUAUAAAAGCAUCCAAUUCAGCCUUCUCAACUUUAUUACCAAUCCUCAUUAGUACUGCUACACCAAUAGCUAGCUAGCUAGCAACAAUGCAUGCAUGCAUGCUUGAAUGUGUGUGCGCGCAUCUGAAAUCUUGGUCAGCAUGUUUAGUCUCAAAGGAAAAAAAUGCAUUUAAGAGUGAUAAUUUUGCCAGCCAUUUUCUUAAUCAUAUGCACUUUGUCCAUUUUCUUGGUUUUCACUUUGCAUGUUUGUUUGCAAAUCUUGUCAUCAGUCAAAUGAAGAAAUAAAAAGGGGCAGAGUUUGAAGGUUUGAUUAGUCUUUUUCUUCUGCAGAAUGGAGAGAUGUCAAAAUGUGCAUACAAACAACAAAUCUGUCUGCUUUGUUGUUUUAUUUCUUUUUGCUGUUUAGUUUUUGUUACUAGCCAUUUGCAUGCAUGACAUUUUGUACUCUGGGCUGUGCCUUGCAUGCAUUGACAUGUCUAUUGUAGAGUACAAGCCAAUACAAUCUUAUACACUAAUUCCGAUAUUGUGAUUUGAUUACUUCAUUUUUCAAUUACUGAACACAAAUUGCAUCUAAGUUUUAGAAUUAUGCUGUUGGCUGGUUGAAGUUAAACAGCAACUUUUUUUUUUCGCUAAUUUUGAAGUGGUUUUGGUUGUGAGGAUUCUGCAAUGUAUGUCAUGCAUGAUGCAACGUAACUAUGCUACAAAAAUAGAAAAGAGAAAAACUAGAACAUAAUAUGAUAGUACAAUCUCCAUAUAGUACAACACAUACUUUUUAUAGCAUGUUCUUGGACCAAGACUUGCAGUAGCUACAAAAGGUUUUGCUCGUCAAGCUGGCAUCAGUUCACCAGGCAGCUUUUCCUACUUUUACAUAGGAAAAACUUACUCGGAUUAUUCUUUCCGUGUUUUCCACUGCCAAUCUCUUCCUUUUUACCAGAUAAAGAUGAGAGUUUAUUGUUUAUGACUUGUCAAAGAAAAGUAAAAGAGAAAAAAAAAAAAUAAGAGUUUGAUGUUAAUAAUCUUUGGAUAGCCCAUUUUAAUGAAAUAACAUGUUUGUAACUUUCGAAGCUAUUUCGUGAAAAAACAACAACAAUAUUGAAGUUACAAGAAAAUUGCGUCGAUUGUUUCAACUUCCGUUGACCCUUUGUCCUAGCGCUAUAUAACUCAUAGUUAGACGGUAGAGAUAAUGGCCUCGCUUUAUUUUCGGCUGAAGGAGUCUCAUACAUAGAUGUAAUUACUUAUAUGAAUGUGAAAUUUCUUUUUCAAUUUAUUUUCGCGGUUAAGCAUGGAGAUUGGCAGACCAUCAUAUUUUCUGCUGCAUGCUUCUGACAAAUAGAUUCUAGGCUCUCCGACUCCUACAGGACACAGUCUCCUCAUCAUCAUAUUAUCGACGAAUAUUGGUCGAAUCAUUAAAGCAAGACUUCCAUCAUUUGUCAAAAUAAUGCAAUAAGAUUAAUGAGGAAUACAAUUCCAGGAUUAGGUGCUCUGCCCACUUAGCCACUUGAGAUGGUUGUCACAGGAGAGGAAGUGAAAAAAAACAACAACAAUCCGAUCAAUCAGAACCAUAUAUAUAUUGAAAGCAAUAAUCUGACGAACAAGUGGCAGAUUUUUAUCUGGCUCAGUAUUUCUCUGUCUUAAAAAAAAAUCAUUAAUGUUAUCAAGAAAGUAAGUUUUACAGUCGACUUUUUCUCUCUUUCUUUCUUCCUAAAGAAUACAGCCAAGAACUACAACUUUCCAUAUUUGGUCGGCAAAUCAUAAAGGAGCUCCACGUGAUGAUCCCUGCUCUGAUGCCCCAUGCCAUCCUUGUCAUGGGUCACUUUGACCUUAAUGAAUGAGCGUUGCUCUUGGAAAGCCCAGAAAAUGCUUCUGUUUUGUACCAGAGUUCAGUCCGACUUCACAUGUAUGAAAUCUUUUAUCUUCGUGAUGAUGAACAGACGAAUAUAAAACUGUUACUACCAAAAAAAAAAAAAAAAAGAGAGCUGUCAACCAACACAAACACCAUUGUGUUCUUCCCUUUUGCGCCCGAAAGGUGGGAAAAAAGAAAAAGUGAAAAGUAAAAAUGUUUUAAAAAUUUUGAGAAAAAAAUUACUCUACCCUAAAGCCAAACUCUUUCCACGACCCCCUUUCCAACCAGACCUUUCAAAAUAGGCACAAGUGGUCAACAUGACCACAAAAUUGAGGACAUAUGACUACAUUUACGUAUACAUGUGUAUGCACAGCAGUUUUCCACUUCAACAAUCAACCCAGUUCUGAUCUAAUGUGCUGUAAGUGAAAAAUUAAUAGCAUAUCCAACCUAAAGACGGUUAUUUCUGUCUUUCUCCAAGGCAGCUAUUGGGAAGUUCAAUGCCUAGCUUUCCUGCUAUACAUUGAUCAUCCCAGAACAGAAUGAGAAACUGCAUUUUACAAUCUAAUAAUAGGCAUCAGCCCAUGAGCUUAUCUUGGCGUAAUUCUGUCUGGAUGCAUAUAACCCAUGCCCUCUAUCAAAUUAACAGCAUGCAACACUAAACGCAUUGGGAAGUAAUGUGGCGAUAAAGAAAGCAAAGCUCAGGGUUUAUUGACAACAAAAUUCCUUGAAUGCCUAAACUGCUAACAUCUUACAACUACACGAGACAAACUUCUCCAUCAAAAUUUGGUACCAAUCCAAAAAGAACUUGAUCCUCAGAUAGUUGAGGAGCCAUUCCCUUAGUUAUCCGAACAUGACAGCACCAAUUCACCCUCAAUGCAUGACAGAGUAACAGUCAUUGACCAGCAGAGCGAGUUUGUAAUCUCUUCCUCUCAAACUCAAGCUAGCAAAAACACAGAAGAUCAAAAAGUCAGUAAUCAGGUGAGAUGACACUAUGCAUUUCACUCAACACAGUUCAACUUUUAGAGUUGACAGUCUCACCACUUUCCGCACUCGCUCAUUGGCAGCUGGAGUUCCUCCAACGACGGACUCAGGAAGAUAUGGGCUACUAACGCGCACUUCAUUCAUCACAACUAUAGUAGUCUUGUCCCAGCGCACUGGAAGCCUGAAUACAUGAUGAAAUUAGUAAUAUGAAUCAUAAUCCUGUGUCUCAUCUUUAUUUGGGGUUAUGCAUAAGGUAAAUUUAAAGGUAGAACAAAUACUAAAUGAAAAGUAGCCACUAACAGUAAAUAACACCAUAACAAUCACUAAAUCAACUCUUCUUAAACGAUAACAUACAAAUGGUCAUCCAGAUAGUUCUUUUCUGCAUAUCAUAAGGCAGCUGAAUGUAUUAAAUAUUCAAAUGUGAUCGUCUAAUCAGGAUAUGUGUGUGUAUGCGUGCAUGCGCACGAGAGAUGGGGGGAGAGAGAGAGAGAGAGAGAGAGAGAGAUUUGGAGAAGCACUCUUUUUUUUUUUUUGGGGGGGGGGGGGGGGGGAAUCACCACCGUGUAGCACCUCUAUUAGCUUUGCCAAAAAUGUCAGCAUGCUAUGCAUUUAAUGGAUUCAGGAUGCCAGAAAUGCUGUGGAGUUUCACUAAAGUGCCAAAGCCAACUACUUGCAUCCAUGUCCAUGAGUCAGUUAACUGCAUUUUCAAGAAGCUCAGGGGGCUUAUUCUUCUGUUCUCCUCAGAAAUUUCUGAUUAAGACCAUAGACAUUAAACAAUUUCAGGUGCAGUUAAUCAGAUGAUUCUAACCAGAUUCCUAUAUGAAGAAAUGAAAACUAAAUACCAAGCUUGAAAGCAGAAGACUGCCAUUCAGAAGGAUUGGCAUGUUUCCUUGACAUUGAAGUUUUGUCGAUCACUUCAGAUGAAGAUUGAACGAGUACACCAUUGAGAUUCGAUUGGUAAAUUGACCCAAAAUAACACUAGAUAACCAGGGUAAGAAAAGAAUAUACCCUGACUUAGUUUAAAUGCUGCAUUUUCUAGAAUCAUGUAACAGCUACUAUAUCAGUAUAUACUUUUGACUCUUUUCUUUCAGCUUCGCUAAAAAAGGCCCUAUCCAUCUUCUGACUUCUCCCUUAGUGGUGUUGGCAAGGAGGUAGCAAGAAGAAAUAUGUUAGUCUUCUCGUGAAUUUAGACAACAUGAAUGGAUUUGUUUUGCGUACAACAUUCAUAUAGUGCACAAUGGCAUUUGAAGAAUUAAAAAGGAGAUUCUGCACAGGAAUAAGAUUGUUCAGCAGUUUUACUCCCCAAUUCUGCAUCUAACACUACUUCCGAAAUGGAGUUGUUUUAUGCAUCUGAUGCUCAAGGCUGAGCUAUUCCAGUGAACUUUAUGAAAUUAUAAAUCUCAAACCUGAUAGUACCUUUAAAUGGAAGCCAUACUAUCUACUCAACAUCUAUGAUCUGUCAUUAGAAACAAUUAUUUUGAUUAGUAAAGAUUUCCUUUUGCCGAUAGACCGUUGGAGUUGUAUAACCACAGUUAAUUCUUGAAAUAACAAGCCAUUUAGUUCAUGCAAAAAUGUGCUUUUUGCCAACAAUUGGAUGUCAUAACAACACUAGCAAUACCAGAACUUAUUUAUCACAAAAUAGAAAUAACAAGUCAAGACUGCAAAGAACCAAUAUUUUCAACUAGUACAAGAGGAAAGAAAAAACUACAUAAAAUAUACUGAAAAAUCAUAUUGAGAAAAUCAAACCGCUAAUAGAAGAUCAAGAAACAGCAAUAAAGAAAUGACAAACAUAAAAACUUACGUUUUGGACAGAGCAUCAAAAAUGCUCUGAGCUUCAGCUGUAACACCAAUCCCAAAUCUUUCAGCCUCCAACUCAGCUUGCCUGAAAAAUGCUACUUAUAAAAUCAACCACAAUAAUCACAAAAAUAGUCCAAAUCCACAACUUGGUCAGAAAUUUUUUUAAAAAAAAUCGAAAUACCUAAUAGCAGAGUCUUCUCUGGCUUGAAGAUUAUUAAGAUCAAUAAAACAUUUCUUGAGAUCAAGAGGGUCUUCACCUUGACCCAAAAAAGUAAACUCCUUUACGUAAUUGGCUUUCAAUAGCCUAAUAUUCCUCUUUGGCCCUGACCCUGAAUUUAAUCCUUCUUGUAUUCUUCAAAUCCAAAGUUAAAGAAUUUCAAAACCCACAAGAAAAAUUACCAAUUCAUAAUAAAUACUGAAAAUGCAUGCGAAAAUACUGAAAAGAAAAAAUGGAACUUUUUAAGGGAAAAUCUAGAAAAACAGGAGGAGAAGGAUAUGGAGAACAAGUAUGUUGGAUGAGCGGUCAAAGGUCAAAACUUGGCCUUGAAAUUCUUCUCCAAGAGUGGUCUUGAUGGAGAGUAUGCAUCCUACUGCGAAAUCUUCGUUACUGUUAUGAGCUUCCAUGGAUUUAGGCUUCUCGUCUUUUCGGCUUGUAUUUCACCUGAUUUGAGGUUUUGUAAUGGAGCACCAGUUCAGUUUCUUUUCUUUUCCUUAUUUCAUACCGUUUUUGGUAAUUUCAACACGGGCUGCAAAACAAACUUUUCAGAUCGGAGACGUAUUGGGCAGCCCAAAAUUCUAAAGGCCCAAUUCAAAGUCCAGCCCUAAAAGAGUCUGAAGCGAUAGGUGGUGGCUAGUAUUGCACAAUUCCAAUUGAAAAUCAAGUCUUCUUUUUUUUUUUUUUUUUUUAAAAAAAAAGGAAAGAAAGAAAGAAGAAGAAAUGUUAAUUGCACCUCACAUUUUUUUAAUCGCACUCACUAUUUGUUUUGUUAUAUAGCUUAAUAAAUAAAAAAUGAUAUAAUAAAAAUGAUAAUAGUGAAAAUGCGGUUAACAAAAGAGAGAGUGCAGUGCAAUUAACAUUUUUCACAAAAAAAUAAGAUAAUUACCAGAAGAGGUUGUUUGGAAAGAUACACAAUUGCAUGUAACAAUUCAUCUUUGGUAAUUGGUGAACAACUAGUUCAUUUAUGGUUGUCAAAACCUUUUUAAAACAUUUUCUCAUUUAUGAGAAAUAUGAAUGCAAAUUGCAGCAAGGGUUAAUUGGUCAAUUGAUGCAAUUUCUGCCAUUCACUUUGUAGUCCAAACACUAAAUAUGGUUGAGAAUAAGUCAAUAAUGUAAGUUGCAAACUGGUGUUGAAUAUUACUGGGACAAUAGAGAAAUUGCAGAAGUAUUAUAGGGAUUUCCUAGCGAUCGACAUUUUACACUGUUUGGAUUAUAGUUUUUCACAGAAAAUUUUUUUAUAUUUUUUGUUUUUCAAAUUAUCUUUUCACCUCGUAUAUAUCAAAUUUUUAUAAUAUAUUUUAUGUUUGGACAAAUAAUGUAUGAGACUGGAUGAUAUGAUCUUGUAACGUUAAGAUUUGCAAGAAGAGCUGAGCUCACAAAUUCUAGACAACAGAACGUAUUGCAUGUCUAACAAAAAGAAGCAAUUUCGCAGAACUGCUUGCAAGCACAUGUAACGCUUCCAAUACUGAUGACACACGCAUGAUGCAACUUAUUCCAUUAUAAGUAGUCUAUUACAAGAUUUGUAUUCUCACUAGAGGUGGCAAAUCAACCCACUUAACUAAAUUUACCCAUAUCCGUCCAUGAAUAGAUGGGUAUGGGUAUCUUAAAUUUUUAUAUAUGGGUAUAAAUGGGUUACCCAAUAAUACUCAUUUAAUAAAUGGGUAUUAUUGAGUAACCCAUCAAACCCAAUUAAUCCAUUUAGAAUUCUCCUCCCCUAAAUCUCUUUUUUUUCCCCACCCAUUUUUUUUUUUCAAAUUUUUCAUUUUGUCAUGAUGUUAACUACUUUUGUUUCAUUAUUAUUAUUAUUAUUUGUUGGUUUUAUUUUAUUAUUUUAUUUUCUUUUAGUUUGUUAACUUGCUCAUUUUUCGGCAUUACCAAUUUAUGAUAAAUUUGAGCCUCUUUUCUUAUCUUUCUAAAAUGAAAAUUUAAAUUUAUAUAUGAAAAAAAUGUUAGGGAUUCAAAAUUUUUGGAUUAAAUUAUUAUAUUAACUUUUAUAGUACUUAGUUCACAUUUUUAUAUUCUUAUUAUUCAAUUGUUAAAUAAUAUGUAAUUUUGUGAAAUAGAGUAUAAAUGAAAAAAAUUGGUAAUUAGGUUUAUUGAACAUUAUAAAUAAAUAUUUAAAACUAAUGAUGGGUACAAAGAGUCGUAUAAAUUGAUAACUUAGUUUGCAAAAAUAAAUUUAAAUGAAUUUACAAAAAAUUAAAAUAAAUGGGUUAUAAAUGGGUAAUUGGGUUACCCAAUUCAUUUUUUGACUUACCCAUUCAUACCCAUCUAAUUAAAUAGGUAUAAAUGGGUUGACUCACUUAUACCCAUUAUCCAUUUUACCCAACCCAAACCCGCCCAAGUCACCCAUUUUGACACCUCUAAUUCUAACAGAGUUGGACAGCAACUAAACAAAUUUUAGAAAGUACAAAUAUAAACAAUUAUUCUUCUAAUAAUUAAUCGUCCUCCAAAAUUUACUCUGUGACAAAUCCUUCUGAUCUCUCCUUGAGUGUCAGUUAAGGAAUUUAUAUUACUCAUUGUCACCGUGUAAUCAGCAAAAUCGCCGAAGAAGAACGAGAGCAAAUCCCCACAUUAUCAUGGAUUUAAAAAAUCGUUUCGCAAAAGGGUUGUUUGUAGUUCUAAGAGUUCGUAUUCUUCAAAUACGAGGAUAGCAAACUCUCUGUUUCAAUCAAGAGAAUAGCGACUACAUAAUUCAAGUUUCAAUUUUUAACAGAUGUUUGUCAUCUUUUGCAACAAAAGUCAGCAACCACAAGUGAGAAAAUGCUAUCCUUUUUUUGCUCAAAUGUGAAUCAAAACUCAGUAAUUUCAGUCAUACCGCAUUUGAAAAAUGUCAAGCUCGCAUUACAAAGAUCUCUCUUGUUGGAAUCAUACGUCACAAUCUACCCUUUUGAAGAAUGAUUUUAGAAUUCAUCAUAAUCUUGGAAUUUUCCCCUUAGAACGAGUCCAUGUCAGUAUCAUCCAUCACAUCCCUACAAUAAAGAAACGUCAACAUUCACGAAUUUAAUACAGCACUUAUAUUUAGUGUUCAGAUAUGUCGUCUUCGCUGUUUCUUUUCGAACAAUAUAUUUUUGUUUUAUGUGAAUUAGGCCUUGAAAAACUUACAUCAACAAAACAAUCGUGAAAAAAAGAGGCGGAUAAUUGAUGCCACCAUCCUUGGAUCUUGAUCAACAGUUGCACUCAUCACAUCGUGAACUAUAGCAGGAAGAUCAGGGCAGCUGUUGCCAUAGAAAUCGAGCGAAAUAUGGGCAACAGAAGGACUAAAAUAGAGAGCUAAUAUGAAGAAAAUGCAUGGGAGCUGGAAGGGGACAAUGGCCAUGCCGAAGAAGCACUUAGAACACUCGAGCUAAGCUUAUUAUAAACUUGCUUUUCAAAUUGCAUGGGGAGAAAUACAUUAAUGUCUUCAGAAUGAUGAUACAUCCUCCACUGGAAUUCUAUGUUAGCAAAACUUCAGUGUGGAGUCAUCUGGGCUAAGUUGCCACAUUGGGUUCAAUUUCUAUCUUUUACUUGUACAAUCCCAUAUGAGUAGAGCUGUUAAUCGAGCCGAGUCGAGCCGAGUAUUUGGCUGCCGAGCUCGACUCGAGUUUAAUUCGAGCCGAGCUCUACUCGAGCUCGUUAGGAAAACGAGCUUUAAAAUGUGUUCGAACUCGGCUCGUUAAAUGUACAUGUGGCUCGAGCUCGAGCUCGAGCUUGACUCGUUUAUCACAAACAAGUCGAGCUUCACGAGCUCGAGCUCGAGCUCGUGCAAAUUAAUCUUAAUAAAAAUCUAUAAUUUUUAAUUUUUAUAAAUUUGAUUUCUAAAAUGACAAAUAUGCCCUUCAUUAAUGAGCUCUAACGAGCUACUCGAGUAUCAAACGAGCCGAGCUUACUCGGCUCGUUAACUAAACGAGCAUGUUUCGAGCUCGAGCUCGACUCGUUAACCAAAAUUAACGAGCCGAGCUCGAGCCUUAACGAGUCGAGCUCUAAUGAGCUUUCGAGCUACUCGAUUGACUUAACAGCUCUACAUAUGAGCAUGGGAUUUUUUCCUUUUCCCAUUUUGAAAUGUUAAAUCGUGCAUUUCCCAACAAUUAUUCCUGGACCAGCAAAAGGAGCCCUUAGGCCUUCAAAAUGGUUCCUGGACCAGUCCAAGUUAUUGGUUGUAGUAGUCCAAGAAUAGUUGGGUUUAUGCCAAAGGUCCUGCAAACCUUUCCCCCAAAGUCUCCCUCCAGGUCAAUACUAAUUACUGUUGGGCUCAGAGAGAGCCAAAUAAGGGGAGAAUUUAACCAUGAGGUAGAAUGGUAACCACAACCAUGGGCUUGACACCACAUCCAAUCCAAAACCUUAAGGCAUUGGGUCUAUGGAUCAUUCCCACUUAUAUGUUCCUCAUUCUACUCAUCUCUUUCCGAUGUGGGAUAUUGAUUCACACUUGAUAUCCCAACAAUUACUAAUGGCGGACUAGCAGCUCGUCUCCAACUUUAUGGUCAAAGAGUCGAGAGAUAAGGUUAAGACUAAGAGUUCAGCAAAAGGACAUUCGAUUAGGAAGGUGGAUGUAUAGUACAGAGAUUUAAUAAUAUUUUCUUUAUUUUUUUUGGGGGUAUCCAUAAGAUACAAAAAUGAGAUUAAUCAAUUAGAUAUCAAUCAGUUACUACGUGAAGAUGACAAAAACUGGCCAGGUUAAGCUGUAUUGUCCAAAUAACAUGGGAUUUUCUGCUUGGCUUUUGACUGAAUCUUCCCCACAAGCUUCUCUUCUUUUGAUCUUCUUCCUCCAUCCCUCUUAUCUCUCUCUCUCAACCAAAAAUAGUGGGAUUCUCGGCCACUAGUUCCAAAAACCAAAAGCAUGGAAACAUAAGCAAAGCGCGCAAGAAAAAAAAGAAAACAAGCAUAUUAACUUGAAGCCAGAGAUGGGCUCUAAAAAGCCACUGAAACAUCAAUCUAACUCGUUAUUAACAAAAUUAUUGCCUUGGACCUUCUCCAUCCUCCUCCCCCUCCUCCUCAUUCAUCUGUGUUUUCAUCCAAUACCCUUCCUACGCUCUCCAUCUAGUAAGCUUCAUUCAAAUAAUAAUAAUGCUAUCAACAAUGACUCCGCUUCUCCUCCUUCGCGACGUACAUUUCCAUCCAGUCAGCUUCAUGCAAAAAAUCACGUUAUCAACAAUGACUCCACUUCCCCUUCUCCUUCGCAAGGUACAUUGGUCUAGGAUGCACAAUAAUCAAAAGGCAACAUGUGUUUGUCAUUUUCCUGUAUUUUCAGGCUUGCAUUAGUCACCAAUUUUUACGUAUGUAUGAGAACAAAAGCUUCUGUCUUGAUUUCUUGCAGAUGUUAAUAGUUCUAAUGCUCCAACUGCGUGUGACUACUCGAAUGGGGAAUGGAUACGUGACAAGUUGGGACCUCUGUACAAUGGGACAACUUGUGGUACAAUUAAAGAUGGCCAGAAUUGCAUGAGCCAUGGGAGGCCUGACAAAGAUUAUCUCUACUGGAGAUGGAAGCCAAGACAAUGCAAAUUGCCAAGGUUUGAGCCUCGGACAUUUCUCCAAUACCUUAGCAAUAAGCAUUUGGCUUUUGUGGGUGAUUCUGUUGCUAGAAACCAAUUGGAAUCCCUGCUCUGCAUGAUCACCACUGUUUCUUCUCCUAAGCUUGUUCGUAGUUAUGGUGAGGAUAACAAAUUUCGCAAAUGGCAUUUCCCUUCUCAUAAUGUUACCGUGUCCAUUUUUUGGUCACCAUUUCUUGUAAAAGGCAUCGAGAAAUCCGAUGAGAUUGAUAUCACGCGAAAUUACAAUAAACUGUACUUGGAUUUAGUUGAUGAGAAAUGGGCAGGGGAAAUUGAUCAUCUGGACAUGAUAGUUUUAUCUGUGGGGCAUUGGUUUUUACACCGGGCAGUGUACUAUUAUAAUGGUACCAUACUAGGUUGCCACUACCGCUCUGAUCAAAAUUGCACUGAAAUUGGAUUCUAUGAUGUUUAUGGCAAGGCAUAUCAAACAGCCGUUAAUUCAAUAAUUGACAGGAAGAGAUCAUCUAGUUGCAAUGCAACUGAUGUUUUUGUAACUACAUUUUCACCUGCUCACUUCGAAGGGGAAUGGGAUAAAUUUGGGGCGUGCCCCAAAACAAAGCCUUAUAAUGCAAGUGAAAAGAAGCUAGAAGGGAUGGACGCAGAAAUGAGAAAUAUAGGGAUUAAAGAAGUUAAGGCAGCAAGAGAAAAAUCUAAGAAGUUUGGUAGCUUGAGAUUUGAGUAUGUAGAUGUGUCUGCAUUAUCUUUCCUUAGAGCAGAUGGCCAUCCAGGGCCGUAUUUGUAUCCUUUUCCAUUUGCCAAUGGAAUUAAAGAUCGUGUACAGAAUGACUGUGUGCAUUGGUGUUUACCAGGGCCUAUCGAUACAUGGAAUGAGAUUUUGUUAGAAAUCAUGAAAAGACGGGAAACUGAAGUUUAGUAGAUAAUGGUAAGAUCAUACUGUUCUUGAAAACGAAUGUGCAGUGCGUUCACUAUCAGAAUGGUUUUUUCAGUGCUGUCCUCUUCCAUUUGCGAGUGAUUACUGGCCGCCAUGAGAUCAGGAAAACAGAAUGAGAAAGGGUAAUGUAGAGAUAUCGGAGUUGUUUUGUACAGCACAUCAUUUGGAGCGUGGCAAUUUGUGACUGAUUUUCUACCUAACAUAGGACGCUUUUACAGUCAAACUUUUGUAAUUUUUAACAUGCUCCUGGCCUCCUCAUAAGGUGAAAUAACAUUUACAUAGGGAUAGAAAGAUACAGUGAUUAUAAUGGUUCACUACAUUCUCCAUGUAACCCACGAAAGCGAAGCGUCAUGUACCAUGUAUUUUGCCUACCACUUUUUUUUGUCAUUUGGAUGAUUUUGCUUUUGAGCCGGCAUACAAAAGCCAAAAGGAGAUGUGAAAAGGUCAAGGAACUAUUUAAGAGGACAAUAAGAAGGAGCAAGAUCACGUAUUUGUGGGUUAAUUAUUCUGCAUGCCAAUAGGUCAAAUGCUGGAAAAAAAAAAAAGAACAAGGAAUGGAAAUGGAGUUCUGCUGACCUCUUUUCAGUUGUCUGAGUACUCUCUUUGCUCAUGUAAAGCAGUAAAACUCCGAAUUGUUUGAUGCGGUAAAGGAAAUGACAAAAAUAAAAAAAAAAUUGAAAAAAAAAAUCCCAUGGGGUCAUCCAAAUAAACAAUAAAAUAAAAAGAACAAGAAAAACUCUGGGACGUUUCCAUAAUAGGUUUAAGGAGAACCCUAUAGUGCAUUUAUAUGUAACAAACCUGUUUUUGAUUUAUAAGAAGAAUCCACAAUUUGAUAAUAAAGAACAUGGAAUUUACUGAAUUAGCAAAACCUCCCGCUGCCUAUUGUUAAGGAUUGAUUAAUAUUUGCUGCUACAGAAGUCUAUCCAUUUGUCCAGUUCAGACUUCAGACUCCAUACCUCAUCUGAUCUCCCUUUCCACUGCAAAAUCAAUCUCAACUCUGCAACUUCUAAGUGCUCUUUCUUCAAUGGCAAUCGCCUCCACAUCCUAUCUUCCCAUAUACUUGGGCACCCAGCCUCAUUCCCACCACAACCUCUAUCACAUCCCUCACUUCAGAACUCAUCAAAAUCCAAUCUUUACCCCAAAAAGGACACACCCUUUUGUCGUCUUCCCUAAACACACAGCGUUCAAUAUCAUCUUCCCACUUUCGACCUCCCAAUCUUCUUUUUCUUCCACCUCUUCUACGCCGACCCUCCAGAAUGCACUUCAAACAGGGCGAUUUCUUACUAAUGAAGAGCUUGAAAAGCUUCAGUUUCUUGAGAGUUAUAGGUAUUUUCAGGAAUUAAAAUCUGGGUUUUUGUACAUAAGAAUGAUGGAUCAAGAAGAAAUGGAUAUGACGGUUAGUUUAUUGUCCGAGACUUUUGCUGAAUCCAUGUUGUUGCCUAAAGGGUAUGUCCGAUUCUUGGAGUAUUUGGUGAAGCAGUAUCUGAUUGAGAGGAGGACUUUAAUGCCUCAUACUGCAACACUAGUCGGUUUCUAUAAGGAGGAUGAAGAGGAGGAUUUACAGUUAGCUGGGACAGUUGAGGUGUGUUUCAACAAGAAGGGUGCUAAUGCUUCUCCUCCUACACCUACUCCUCCCAAAAAUUCUCCAUAUAUAAGCAAUAUGACUGUAAAGGAGUCACUUAGAAGGUAUAACUUUGAAAUUUUAAAUUGUUACUCUUUCUAUUAUAUGUGGAUGACAGAAAAUUUAUAACAAACCAUCCAUGGAGGGCAGCAGAGAAACUCACUUUUUAGUAUUUCUCCCCUGUUGUCUGUAUAAUUUCGUAAUUUUCAACAAAAAAAAAAAAAAGAAAUAUCAGCUAGAAAGGGUUAGGUGUUCCUGUGUAAAAACACCAACACAAUGGGAUUGGUUUCUCCAGUAAAUGAUAUUCCUUGACUUCCUCUGAGUACGUGUUGAAUUUUGAAAGACCUUUUGCACCUUAUAUUGACAAAUGUUUAAACUUUACCGUCUGCAUUAAGGCAGCAACUUUGCAUAUCCUACUUGCACUGCAAAGAUAAGCAGUAUAUCCUGGGGGCUGUUAGUUUCAUUUGUCUUGCCAUUGCAUCGGUGUCUUGCUGUGUUGUGUUGCUGUUGUUUGAUGACUAUAACUUAAUUGUUUCAACAUUAUUGUGAGUGAAAGUUGAAUUCAAAUUUUCAGGAGGGGCAUUGGAUGGCAUUUAUUGAAAGCAAGUGAGGAAUUGAUUGCUCAUAUGACUUCCUCGAGGGAUGUUUACUUACACUGUAGAAUGAUUGAUGAGGCUCCUUUGAAUAUGUACAUAAAAGCAGGAUAUAGCAUUGUCAGGACAGACAACAUCUUAGUCCUGCUGACAUUGCAGAGGCGUAAACACUUGAUGUGCAAGCAAAUUCCAGUCUUGACUAGCCCUUCUGAAAUGGAUACUUACAGCCAGGAACCUUAUUCGUAAAUGGAGAGUCAAAAUGAUUUUGUACUUUUUGAGGUAUUAAAGCGUUCCGACUUAAUUGCCUUCGUUAGAGAAACCCAUCGUGCAUACUUGGUUUCUUUCCCUAGCUUUUGCUUGCUGUUAUUGAAAUUAUAAUUGCAUCUUCCUGGCAGAUGCUUGUAAGUCAUCGGACCUUUUGUAACAUAACUCUAUUAUAUGAUUAAAAUCUGUUCAGGUGACUCUACUUGUUCUUUUUUUGGUUUCUUUAAUUGAUUCUGCAUUUAUUGCCUGCUUUAAUUUUGAUAAUGAUAAUCAUUAGAUAGGUUUAGAUUGGAAGGCCAACUAGAUUUUCCUAGCUGACUUUUUGAUGAUUUUAUUAUUGAGUUUCAACCUUUUGCUCAUAGCUAUUUCCACUAAACUUUAUUCUGACAUUCUUGUCAAACGAGCUGUUUGCUUUUAGAGCAUGUUUCUUUUUUACUCUUUCCUGCUUGCUGGCUGACAAGCAAGUGAAACCUGGAUUCUUGAACUUGUUAACAUGUUAAAUCUACCAUUCAUAUGUGAAACUCCAGUCCUGUAAACUUCUUAUUUACUGCUGAACUUGUUUAACUACUCUCUGGACAACCUGAAGAACAUUGUGGAACCUAUAAAGCAAGUGACAAUAUGCGAACUAUUUGGAAGCCGAUAGCUCUUGUUAACUCUUCUGGUCCAUAUAUUUCAUAGAAGGAUAUUAUGUACUUCUGUUUGAAGGUUAAUACAGUUCACUUCAAUAUUGUUUCCCAUGACAAUCCGUGAAAGGAUGUUAUGGAAUAGUUCUCUAUUAUACAUAAGGAAAAGACGAGCAAUGUCUCAGAUUUUAUUCACAUUGUUGUACAAAUCUUCAAAUUACACGAGAGAAAUACCUUAUCAGAAAAUGGUGAAGCUAAAAGAGGAAAAAAAAAGAAGGAAAAAUAUGACACCUGAUGCUUCCGGCUGUCUAUCAGAAACUCUUUUUGAGUCAUUAAAUUAUAAAAAUACCAUCUUCCUUCAGACACCUAUGAGUAUGUUUAUCAUAUAUGACCAAUCAAUAAACUGAGGGUUGCUUGUAAAAAUCUUAAGAAUUUCUUGAACUUUGAAGAUUCUAGGUUGCAGUACAGUCUUCUUAGCUGGAAGAUCAUUUACACGGUGUAUCAUGAUGCAUCUCUAAUUUUUGUAUGAAAAAGAUUGUUGUUUGUUUAAAUCAUUCUGAAAGUAUGCAGUGUCAUCCCUAGUCCCCUUGAAUUUGUGUAGACAAUUAGUUGGAGCUCCUUAACGCAUUCUAUCAUUGAGGGCCGUUCAGUACUGUCAAUUCGUACACAGCGCGAUGCAAGGCUAGCAAACAUGGCUAUAGACUCCAUUGUAUAUGAAUUCCUGCUCAUAUCUGGAUCAAUUAUCUUGCGCAACCUCUUUUUAUCAUUCAAUAUGUGCCUAACCUGCAGCACCCAUGAAGCAGCUAUUAGGCUUUUAUGGAGAUAUUUUGAACUGUUUUUGUCAUGUCAUGACCAUGACAAUGAGCAUUUGCUGUUACCUGCAGUACUAAGUUCUGAUCAUUUGGUCCUUGGUUCAGGUCAACUGCUCUCCGUCCAGUCAAAAGCUCUAGCAGAACCACUCCAAAUGCAUAAACAUCACUUUGUAAAGUGAGUUUUCCUGUCUGUUGCCAAGGUAGAUAGAUCCAAGGCUCAGUCCUUGUUGCCAAUUAAUGAAACCAAGUAAGAACCAACCCUUGAUAGUAUUACUUUCUUAUCUCAUAAGUUUUCAAAGGAAGGAAAAAGAAAGGCGUAAAUCCCUUGUUCAUUGUAGAAAAAACGCAGAUACAUAAGAUCAAGGUGGCAUGGGAAACUGCAUUAAUCUGUAUACAAAAGACCGGAAAAUAAAUAAAACAUCCUUGUAACAGAAUUGCUAAUUUAAAUGUAUGUUUUUGUAAUUGAGGUGGGAAUGGUGAAAUAAGAAAAGAGAACAAGGCUUGGAGUCUCCCUUUGGACCAAGAAACAAAAAAUUAGAGGGGGCAAUGGGGAAAUAAGAAAAGAAGAAAGAAGAUGAUAAGCGAAUAAUCACAAUAAUUGCCGCCUACUUGGCUUCUGAAAUUCUGUUUCUGCUUAUUCUUCCUUUUAAUUGCACUUCUGUGUGCUUUUGCAUGAUGCGUUUUUAAGUGAAAAUAAACAGUUAGGGUUUGUCUCGGAACACUUUAUUAUGCAGUUAAAAGAAUUUAACUGUUGCAAGGCUGCUAGUUUAUUUUUUUCUAUCUUUUGAUCGGUUGAAAGUAUCUUCCAAGUUUUUGUUUAAAUGGUUGUGGCAUUAAGUUCUGAAACAGGAAUUAUGAACAUGAAGUGGUUAAAGCCUAUUGUUUUCUAGUGUUGAUAGAAGAGAAAUCAGAAAAAUCUCGAGUUCUAGUUUUCUAGUGCUGAUAUCUUAUAUAAUGAAGAGAAAUUCCUAUUUUCAUUUAUGGAGAAUAGAAGAUAAAAUUUGUAAUCCUUUGUCUUUAUGGAUACGUACCAACGUAUAUUCUGGAUCAAAGUAGCCAAAAGUACCCAGCACUCUUGCUGUUACACAGGUUUCCUGGCCCUCUGGCAUCAACUUUGCAAGUCCAAAGUCUGAAAUCUGCAAAAACGCCAGAACUUGCAACAAUUGUUAUAUCAUAAAAGCACUUCCUACGAAUCAUGCUGGAAUCUUUUGGAGAUUUUUAUGAAGUGGAUGUACCUUGGCUUCAAAGUUGUUGUCUAGCAGGAUAUUGGUUGAUUUGAAGUCUCGGUGUACAAUGGGAAUUCCGACAGCAGAACUGGAAUGGAGAUAUGCAAGUCCUCUUGCUGCUCCAAGAGCCACUUUGAGUCUCAAAGGCCAAUCCAUCUUCAGUUCUCCAAUACCUGGAAGCUGUUGUAAGACUAAUACAUCUUCAAGCACAAAAGUUUAGAGAAGUAGUGCAGAAUUCACAAACAAACAAACCGUUCAAGUGAUCUUGCAGAUUCCCUCGUGGCAUAUAUUCAUAAACCAAGAACCUAUGCUUCCCAUCUGCACAAUAGCCUAUUAAAGAUACAAGAUUGGGAUGGUCCAAUCUGCUUAAGAUAUCAACUUCCACCCGGAAUUCGCGCUCCCCUUCUGCUGCUUUAAAUGACGGUAGGUCCAUUUUCUUGAUUGCUACAAUCUGUGACUUGAAAAAAAUAUUCUUAUAAACCAUACUUUUUGGUCUUCCUCUUUCUUCAUUUGUUUUCAACUAUUGUUGUGAACUUGAAAGAUCGAACUCCAAUUGGACCACCAAUUUUAUGUGAAAAAACAUAAUACCAUGGAUGUGCACGAGCAAUUUUGCCUAGAAAUUUUUUUUUUAUGUUUUAGCAAAUGUACCUCUCCAGACCGUAAAGUACCCUUGUAGACUCGACCAAAUCCUCCUUUCCCAAGUAGAUUUUGUUCACUGAAAGAAUGUGUUGCCUCUUCCAUUUCUUUAAGCGUGAAAACUGCUGAUCCAUGGUGUCUUUUUGCAGGUGGAGCGCUGCCCUCAAUUUUCCAACAUUCCACUGGUUUAUACACCCCUGAAAAGGAAAAGCAGAAAUUAAAGAAUUGAUGGCCAAAAAAGCAAGUGAAUUGCAUGGGUGCAACAACUAAGUUGUAACGCAACAGGAGUAGAAGAACACGAGAUAUUAGAAACUGAAACAUACAAGGAUUGAUGUGAUCUUCAGACUUGCUUCUGCGGCGCUUAUUCCACGCUGAAACCAAACCGAACGGCAUGACAACUCUUGCUUAAGAUGAUCUCCAGUUUGUGGAUUGAAUAAAGCACGCAUUCAGUUGAAGAGUGAAGGGCUAUACUCAUGGCAGUCUAUGCUAUGCAACAGGAAAAGGAGAAUGAGAACUUACAAAGCUGGCUCACAAAAAUAUGGAGGAAGAGAAGUUAAGAUGAUGGUCAUUACCUCAUUAUAGACUGGUUGGUGUUGAACCGGAGUCGUGCUGAUUAUACAGAUUGAGAGAAUUGGAGAAGGAUAUUAAGUAUAAGCAGAAUUUGAUACUAUGUAGCAUCAGAAUCCUGUAGGAGUGCGUACAAAGCAACUGAACUGAGAGACUAGCUUUGAGAAAUACUCAAAAAAAUGUAGUAAUACCAAUCAGCCAACAACCUGCAAAUCUCACUUGAUGAACAAGAAAAAGUAAACAAAGGAAUGAAUAAAAUGGCCAAACCGGUUGCUUACCUUUGAUAGAGGGGGGUGGUGUGGUGUGGUGGGGUAAGGGAGGUACCUCUGAAAAGGAAAGAGGAGCUGCAGCCUCACCUCCUUACGAUUUUGUGUGACUUGGGAAAAGAUUGUUGUUGUUGUUUCCUUUUCAUUUUGAUUACUUUCUAAUCUUUUAUAUGAUUUACCUGUGUUGCAAUUAGAAUUUAGUAAGCAAGAAAAAGGGCUGUUUUAUGCUGUUAGUGGUUUGAAAAAGGACGUUCAUGACAAUUGUUGGCGAGUCGUCGUGUGAGAAACUAAGGUCUUGUUUGGAUUGCAUUUUUUUGGAUUUUUUGUAGAAAAAUUACUGUAACGAUUUUAUGUAUGUGAGGUAAAAAGGUAAUUGGAAGAUGUGUUCGCGGAAAACGUAACAAUUUUUUUUGGAAAAAUGGCAAUCGAAACACACCCUAAUAUUGUGUGUUUGUUUAAGAUAUGGAUGACAUAUCCGAUUCAACCAAAGCACGGCAAGAAACUUUGAUGCCUCUGCAUGACUUUCUGGAUUAAUUGCUUCCAGCAAUCAUUAACAAAAAAAAAAUUAAAUAAAUAAAAAUUAUACCUCUUUCAUUACCUACCGUCGUCAGCUUAAAUUCUAACCCAAAGAAUACAAGUGUAUCUUGGAAAAAGUUUACUCAAAAUCCAACAGGGCAUCUUAAAAAAGAAAAACAAAAUAUCUAAAAUGUAGAAUCGGAUUCAACAGUUAUUUCCAUGCACUAGAGAGAGUGUGUUUUUUCUUCUUUUUUUUUGGCUGUUUUUUAACUUAAUGAACUAUAAGUAUGAUUUGUAGUAUUUUUUUUUUAAAAAAAAAAAAGAAGAAGAAGCAUGAUUUGUAGUAGAGUAAUAAUCUCAAUAGCUUCAAAAUGGGAUCGAGAUAACACCCAAAAUUAUGAUCGCAACUAACAUGCAUCUCUCUUUUAAAAAAAAAAAAAAAAAAAAAGAUAGCAUCUCUUAACAAAUUGGUACAAGUAAUUUGUAGUGAAUUAUAUGAUAUACUAAUAUCGGAUCGAAAAUGUAUUGCGAAAAAUGGUGUUUGAUUUUUCUUGGCAGUUCCAAGGCCGACGUCAGUGCUUACUUAGUACCGGAGGUGGCAGUAGUGCAGCUCAGCUGUUGAGCCUUGUUUAUCUUGAUUGUUGUUAGCUACGGGCCUUUGUUUGGGCUUGAGCGAUUUGAGCUGCAUCAUGAGGCCGCGUAUGGAUUGGUGUACUUUAAAGCCCGGCCCCGCUUAAUAUUUUCUAUUUUGGAGAGAGUUUACAUCUCUAUCGCUAUUAUUGUGUUAUCCGUGAAACAAUCCAUUCAAGCCAGUGAAUUAAUUCCGGUCCCAUGAACUAAGUAAUAAUCUAAUUUACGUUAAAAUUAGUCCCGCGAAGAGAUAACGUAAGUGGUCUACCUUUGUGGAAACUGUGGAUCCUCCUCAUCCUAGAUUGCCUGAGAGUAGUGAAUUUUAAUUUCUAAGCAAAAUGCCUUCUUUUUUUUUUUUAAAAAAAAAAAAAGGAACCGCAGAGCCAUUAAUUAAUUUGUGGGACACCACUCUGCGUCUAUCCACUUUUGUGGGCAUCUUUAUUGCUGGCACUACUAUUAAAAGGGCGGACCGCUGUGGUAAUAAAAAUGAAUUUCCCAAACCCAUACCGAUGAGAGGCCAGGAAUUCAAUGUUCCCUUUGAAUGGAUCAAUGAAACUUCAAUAACAAAAUUGAAGAGUUUCAACUGUUUUGGUUAAUGACUUGGACGUUUGGGAUGGAUGUUUCUUCCAGAUUUGACUCAUAACAGAUUCUUUUCUAACUGCUGUUCACAAAGAAUAACGUGCCCAUGAGGAAAGGAAGCUCCAAACCAGUGCUUAGAAGAGUAGACCAACCAUAACGGAAGGACAAAAUAAAUCAGGAAAUUUUUUUUAUGUCAUAGAUUGGUGUUGUACGUCAAAAUUAAGCUAACGGUUCAUAUUGAAUUGUCAGUUGUGACUCACACAAGGACAAGGACUUUUCAUUUUCCAUAUGUAAUUAAUUCCCUUUAUCACAAACUCUCUGGUGAUUUGAGUGAAGAUAGAUAGAUGGCUUAGCCCGCCAAGGCCCCCCUCCUUCUCUUUCUCUUUCUUGUCUGGGUACGAAGAUGGAUGCAUUUAUUAUUAGUGUUUCUCUAUAGAGUCGUUUGAAAAGAAAUGUGAUGGUAAGAGUGUUAUCAUUUCCAAUACUUUUGCUAUAAGCAGCUUAAAAUUGGCUCUUUUAAAAGAAAAAGCACGUAAAUGGGCAAUUAUAAGUUUCAGAUCUUGAAUAAUGGCUUUGGUUUCAAGAUCGGUUGGUUAGGUUAGCUAAAAAGUUGAAGAGAAGUGAAGGAAGAGUUGUAGCUUUUGCAAUAUUGCCAUGAUCGGAAUAUUUUGUUUCACUUUACUUCCUAAUACGAUAGUGGCAUAUUCUAAGAAAAUAUUAGUGUUGUAAUGAAUAUCCAUCACUGACUUUUCCUUUGGACUUUGAAUCAGUUAAACAGCUCAUAACAAACAAACAAAAAAUUGAUUGUUUACGUUUUCAUUCACUUGAAUUAUUACUCUUGCUUCAAAUUGCCCAGUGAAAAUUUCCCUAUUCAGCCAGAAGACUAUAGACACCAUCAUUGUUACAAGAAACGUAACGUAAAGAAACACUCGACAGAUUUAUUCACCCAUUACCAUUAGUAAGCCUUGAAUGGUAACGGUUGCCGUAAAGAAAUAAAUACAUGUUACUGCUAGGAAGGCAUGGAAGUGUGCAAAUCUCAUAGUCUGGUCGCUGGUGACUGGUGAGUGGUGGCAGAUGAAGUAGACGGCUAGCUUUUAAUGGCCAAUAUGAAAAAUGGGGGCCAUUCAAGACAUUGAUUUUAGUACUACUAUUCAGUACUUGCCUCUAUAUAUAUAUAUGCCUGCUUCACCAAGGUUCUUGCACAGCUCAGUCUUCUAAAGCUUGCUCUUCACUUUCUUUGUUAGUCUAUCAAUUACUAGUACACAACAAGAAUCGGGAAUGGCAGCGAAACUAGAUGUGGAAGUGGAGGUCAAGUCUUCAGCAGAUAAGUUCUGGGAUGCCAUCAUGGACUCCGUUGCUCUUUUCCCCAAGGCCUGCCCUAAUCAGUACAAGAGCAUUGAAGUUCUUGAAGGUGAUGGAAAAUCAGUUGGCUCUGUUCGUUUGGUCAAGUAUGCUGAAGGUAAUUAAGCGGUCGACUUAUAUGUUAGUAAAUAAUAAGUAGGACAACUUUUGGUUACUCUUGGGAUAUUCCUUUCUGCUUGUCUUUUUAGCUUUUUCCCAAAUCCAAAUUUUAUAGGGACCAGACGCUUUUCAUGGAGUAAUUAAUUGGUCAAUGCUAAAAGGCUAAAUUUGGUGUAAUGCUUAUUUUAUUCACAAUUGCAUGGUAUGUUCACUGAUUAAACUCCAUAAUGGUUGUUAAUUAUACAUCAUGAACUUAAUGGUCAUCUCUUGAUGUCCGGCACAUUAUGUCAUUCUUCCCUGGUAUUCAUUGUUAUAGGAGGGAUGUAUUUGGCUAGGCGAUUAAUUGCAGAAGGGUGGGGAUAAAGAAUUCUGGUCUGGCGAUUUCUUGGAGAGAAUAUGCAUCUACUUAGAUUAAAUGUCACUGAAAGUUCUUAAUAUAAAUCUGCCGCUGUAUAGGAUCCCCGGAAAUUACUUUCUCGAAGGAGAAGAUUGAAUUUGUCGACGAAGGGAACAAAACUGUGAGGUACAGUGUGAUCGAGGGGGAUCUCUUGAAAUUCUACAAGCUUUUCAAGGCCACCCUGGUCGUGAGUCCAAAGGGUGAUGGGAGCUUGGUGAAAUGGAUUUGUGAGUUUGAGAAGACAAGCGAUGAAAUUCCAAACCCAGACAUCAUCAAGGAUUUUGCAGCCAAGAAUUUCCAGGAGCUCGAUGCUUAUCUCCUCAAGGCAUAGAUGGAAUUCUCUCUCAUAGGGUCCAUUUAAUAAUCCUGAAAUCUUUUCUUUCUCCUUUCUCUGAAAAAUAACCUGCAGCCCCACCCACCUUGCAGUGUACGGGUUAAAUGAUGCUGUCACAUUAUGUAGUUUGCCAUAAUAUUAAUACAACUACUAUGUAAGUUUUUUUUUUUGGGGAGCUUAAUGUAAAAGGUUUCAGUACUCUGUUUUCAUCAAUGUUUUAAUCCGACCAUAUAUCUUUCCUUUUUGGGAAACAAACCCAUUGGAAUUCUUCAUCAAUUAUAAUAGCUACAUGCUUUUUCGGGUUACAAAUUCUACCCGUAAUAAAAGUAAAAACAUUUACCAAGAAGUAAAAACCUUACUACUUGUUACUCCACAAAAAAUGCAUGGAACGAAAAUCACCUCAAAUUCUUAUGUACAAUCUUUCUUUCUUUUUCUUCUUUGUACAACAGUUCUGGGCAUAUGAUACAUCCAUUUACAAGCUUCAGAAUUGAAUUUCCCACUACUUGUGAGAAAAGAAAAGGCCUUUUCUAUUUUCGGUUUUUUUUUUUUUUUAAAAAAAAAAGAAAAAGGAAACGAUGAACAACAACAUGUUCAUUGUUCCACUCGUACCUUUUUGUGUUUCUAAAAUACACCUUUCCAACAGGAUUGAUUUGUUCAAAAAAAUUAAUUAAUUAAUUUUGCAGUGAUUUUUUAUUUCUGUACCAGUUUUGCUACUUAGGCACUCUUCAUACUUGUGAGUCUUCUUGCUGCAGAAGCGGGGUCUUCUGAUCAUCAGAUGGAGAACUCCUGCUCUUGUGGUUUUUAAUGCCCGCUUCAUCAUAACUGAUGAUUUGUCCCCAAAUCAGGGUGUAGUGACCCAAUCCGCAUGCCAAAGCUCCUAUGAUGCUGCACGAUCACGUUAUUCACUUAACUCGAUAUAUGUGUGGAUAACAAAAAUUAUUUUAUGCUAAUAAUUUAGAAGAGGGUUUUCAAGAUUUACGGAUUCACAAAAUGUGUUUUUUUUUUUUUUUUUGGAAUUUUUGUACUAAGGUUGGGUGUUUACUAGUCACUUGUUAAAAGAGACUCCUGUUAAGUGAGACAUUAUAUAUUAAUUUUUAAAAAUACAAUUAAUUUGGAAAAUUGCCAAAUAUAAAAUGGAAAACAGUGAAGUUAAAUGUAAUCUAAAUAUAUAUAAACAAAUGUCCACUAAACACUUGUUUUAAAAAUUCUCGUGAAAUUAAACGUUUGAUCUUACAUGGUACUUCUUCAUUAAUGUUGCUCUGAACUUUUUGCUUGUAAUUUAAAUUUUAGAAGCUCUGCACCCAUCGACGGUAACUUAACCAUGAAAUCUUCAACGUAAUUUUUCGUCUACUAGCAAAUUAUAUGGUACAAAGCAAAUAAAGAGCGAAGAUACUGACAUUCUUUUUCCUUGCUCCUUUUUUGGAUAACGAGUUUCAAGACAAAAUUUUCUCGACAUAUUUUUCAAUCAUUUUUUUACCUUACAUACAUUUUUCUACAAAAACUUAUAGUCCAAACAAGUUCUUGGCUUCCGCCAAUAAACAAGAAUUCGUUAUACGUUUAAAAGAUUAAGGGAAUAAAUAGGGGUAAAAAGAAAAAAAAAAAGUGUAAAGGUAAACAGAGGAAGCUACUACCUCCAUUAGUGAAAUGUAUCUGCAAAUAGGAAACAGCCAAACAUGCUUGCAAUGGGAAUUCCCACUGGCUUGAAUAUAGAAGCAAAAAGAGGGCCUUUUUUCUGCAUACACCAGAGGUGGACGCUGCUACGGAUUACACUCCCAAAAAUACCCUGUAAACAUGCGUCAAAAUAUUUGCAUGAUUGGCAGGAAUUUUCUAAAAAAAAAAAUGCAAUAAAAUGCGAUUUGGAAGAUGCAAAUGUAAAAUAUACUUACUGUUAGAAUAAUAACGAGAAGCUCCAUGUCAAGCUUUAAUUUCCAAGCAUCGACAUCUCUUUCUAUGAUUACCGAAAGUAUGGCAGACAGGAGGGUCCCGACUAAGCUAUAAAAAGAAACUAUUUUCAUGACAUGUGGGUAUUUUUCGACAGUUCCCACCUGACCCAACAACAAAAAAAAUGAAAUAUAACUACAGUCUAAUGUGAUCAAUUGUUUAGUAGCAAGAUAGAAAGAAAAGCAGUUAAAAAUACGUCUAUGGAUAUCAAAUUUGGUGUAUACUAGUAUAAGCUUAAUUGUUAGAGAGAAUAUAUAUAGAUGAUGGAUUUCACCUUACUACAUUAUAUAACUAAGCGAUAGUAAUAUUGGCUUUGUUCUCGUUGCUUUAGAUUCUGUAAAAUUGAUUAUGGAAAAUAAUUAUAGAGAAUAAUUAAAGUCAGUAAAAGUUACUCUUUGAUGGAUUAUGCAUUUUAGCUUGUUUAGCUAUUAAAGAAAUCUAUAAUCUGAAUACAAAAUCAAACGGUAACAUCAUAAAAAUUGAUUUUUUAAAAUCAAAUUCUAUAAUUAAAAUAUAACAACUGAGAACCAACCCAUUAAGAGUCUGUUUGAUAACUCUACUUUAUAUUGAAAAUUAAUUCAUUUGGUGUUUUCUAAAUUCAGCAUAUUUGAUAACAUAAAUGCCUUACCACUUCAUGUAUUAAGCACUCUUGAUUUGUAUACAAAAUUUUAAGUAAAAAAGUUUCAUUGAAUUUCUUUUGAAUUCACCACACAUACUAUACCUCACACACUCAUAAUACAUUCUCAUACUAUUCUUGCAUAUGGUACAGAUUUGUUUUCUUUAUAUUCGACACACUCGUAUGCACACACACACACUCUCUUAUAUAUAAAUACACACAUUUAAACACUACCUCUAAAUUAUUUUAUUAUUUUCUCUCUUCCACACAUAUGCAAAUUUUUCUUUUUCUCCAAAUACACAAAUAAAGAUAAUUUUUUUUGAAAGUAGAAACACAUUAUUUGUGCGAUAUUUCAAUUCAAUAUUGUAAUCUAGUUAGUUAUUAAACACGUGUAAUUUAAAUAAUUCAGCACUUAAUUUUUAGAAUUCAAACUUCAAUUUUAUCAAACGGCCCUAAAUCUUUAGCUAGGUCCACACAAAAGUUCUCGUGUAUCAUCUUUUAUCGAUGGAAAAAUGCUUAUAAAGGGGAAAAAAAAGAAAGAAAAGAAGUGACAAAGAAGAAAAUAGCGAGGUUACUCGUGCUUGCACAUGUAUGUACCUGAAUAAUAUUCCAAACUGAAAUUGCUAAUGAAGCAGCUGCUAAUAAAACGCAACCGAGAAUCCAAUUCUCAUCCUGCGGUGAGGAAAAGAUUAAAAGUGGCGGUGGAAUUAGCUGCAGUGAAAAUGAGGGCAGCGGAGACUGCUUGACCACAGGGCCCCUGUAGAGAGCGACCGAUGUUGCUCCCACAAAUGAAAUCACGGUGCCAUCGCUUUCACUUGACUGCUCAAGCUUUUCCAAUCAUUUUCCUUUCUUCUGUGCGGAUGAAUUCACUUAGCCACACUACCAAACAAAAACUCGAAAAUAAUUGCUUUAAAUUCAUUAAAGCGGACCACUGAACUUUCCCCUAUGAGUAUUGAGGGUGCUCACCUCGGCAGUACCUUGUUGCCGAGGUGACCUCGUUUCGUCUCUACACGAACACAUUCAUUCCCCGAUCCGGACCCUGAGCUCGGCUCGGUCCAUGGUCUCCUACUUGGAUGACCUCUGCACCCCUGGCUGUCACCUCGGCUAGACGCUGAUGAUGUCAACACCCCUGACGACACCCAGGACCAGUGCUUUAUCUGAAAAGCACUGGGUGAUCUUAAUGACUGCUGCGCAGGACCCCGUCAUCCGACCCAGGCGGCUACAGUGUCAAAGCCAGGCCUCCUGGCAGGGAACAGAGCCGUAAUGUCAGGACAUGGGUCCCACCGGCAUGAACCCUCCGUCCUGACCUCCACUCCCACUCUAUAAAUACCCCUCCUGUACAUUUCGCAAGUAAGCAGACUGUUCAUUUGACAAUACUACUGCUUUUCUCUCGUUCUCACACUAACUUGAUCGUCAGAGUGAUCCCAGGGGAGAAGCCCCGCCAUUCACUUCGGACACACAGAUACCACU
rnacentral:lncRNA from 1 species